rnacentral:lncRNA from 1 species
UUCCGUAUACCUACGAGUGUCUCCUAUGAGGGGCCUGCAAUGGUUCAAAAUUAAGGGGAAGCUAGCCCCGAGGUUUAUCGGACCAUUUUGUAUAGAGGCACGAAGAGGCACAGUGGCCUACAAACUAGACUUACCCAAGGAGCUGUCAGACGUCCAUGACGUAUUCCACGUCUCACAAUUGAGAAAAUGUGUGAGUAACCCGGAGAAGCAUGUAUCUCAUGAGGGCAUUGAUGUACAACCAGAUCUCACCUAUAGAGAGCGGCCAGUAAAGAUACUGGGAGUGUUUGAACGGAGGACCCGUCAGAAAACGACCAAAUUUUUCAGAGUUCAGUGGAGCAACCACACUGAGGAUGAAGCUACAUGGGAAAGGGAAGAUUUUCUUCAGGCAGAAUAUCCAUAUCUAUUCGAGGAUCAGCUGAAAUCUCGAGGACGAGAUUUUUCCUAAGGGGGUAGGUGUUGUGACACCCAAAAUUUCAUUUGGAUUUUUCAAAAAAUUUACUUGACUUGAGGGAGGUGAUUUUAAAUUUUUCUUCAAAGGAACCCUCCCUUUCAAAAUAUUUUUUAUGGCAAGGGUUUUAUUUGGAUUCACCCAAGACUUGGUGUUGGUCUUGGAGGUUCUUUCUUUUAUUUGGACACAAACCAAAAUGCUUUUCACUUGGGAAAAAUGCCUUUUGAAAAUUCCUUUGAAAAUGCCGUAUGGCUUUUGGAAUGAUUCCUUGCCCCUUUCAACAAAUCUCUCUUGCCAUGGCCUUAGUGCAAAUCCACUCUCCUAAACCUUCCCUCAUCUUUGGAUCAUGAUUUGCAUCAAAUCCAGCAAGUUGAACCUCCCCAUAUGAUUAUUUUCCAUUUAAAUCUUAUCAAAACAAUUUCUGUCUUCUAUUCUAGCCCUUGGAGAUUUACAAAGGAGCUACCAUUUCUGUGUUGAUUUUUGCCCCCAAACCAAAUUCCCUUCCUAGUCCUUUGAACCCUCAACCAAGAUCCAUGAAGAUCCACUGGUCUUCAGUUCAAAUUUUUCAAACUAUACUUGCUGCAAGUUUGGACCAGAUUUGUCAAAUUUGAUGAAAUUCAUUCAAAUCCUUCUCCUAAAAAUCUGAGAAAAAUCAGGCAGCCUCUGGGUGCAUUGAGUGGUCACCUCACCAAGCCCCAGCUCCAGGAAACAUUUUCUCCUUGCCAAAUCAUUCUGUCGAACACCUGCAGAGCAUUGUCAAAAUCAGGUUCAGUAAAAUUCAAAGAACAGUUCAGUGUUGCUGUCGUUUCUUCAGUGUCCGUAGUCGAUCUCGCCCGUGCCUCGGCGUCGCCGUGUUCCCCGUCCCCUCCCCCUUGUCCUCUGCACCACACGAGCGCCUGGAUGCUUGCGGACGUCGGCGACGAGCUGGAGGAGGUGCGCUGCCCCGUGACCGAUGCCAGCGGCGGCUUUGUGGCCGCCAGAGAGAGGCGCAGCGCGGACGGCGCCACCCAGCGCCGCCCAAGCCACCGGAGAUCGCCGCGUGGCCUUCCACUCCCCAGUGCGCGCUGCCACCCUCGUCGUGAACCGCUGGGCGCGGAGCGCGCUCUCUGCCGCCGUCGUGCCCGUGCGACCACCCCACCAUGGACCGGCGCCAUUACGCCAAGACCAACCGGGAUUAGCGGGGGAACGACACCAGUACAUCUCACUGAUGCUGCCUGGCCACUUAAGCUCCCUGCCAAGACACUGCCUCACCGUAAUUGCUCGCCGGAGCGAUCCCGUUCACGGCCGCCCCCUCGAUCCGCCUAUAAAUAGAGGCCCCGAGCUUCAACUCGAACCCACACCACCUCUGCACUCCACCUAGACCACACCAAGCCACUGGAAGAGCCCCGAGGGAGCUUUCUUCCCUGACUCCGGCCGCCGCGACCCGCCACGGGAUCCAGCUCGAUUCUCUCCCGUGCGUGCACCUCCACCCUUCAACUCUUGCCAGUAGCUUCCCUAUGCAUCCACUCUCCUGACCCGCACUUCAAUUCGGAGUUUGCAGCACCCACCAGAGUACUCCACCAUCACCCGAGCCGCCGUCCGCCGGAGAAAGUGUCGCCGUCGACGUGGUGCUCUCCGUCGGUCGAGUCCACCACCCACCGACGCGGAAGGACACGCUGAAGCUCUUGGUACACUCCGAUCUCCCUGUCUCGCCGUGGUUCGACGCCGGCGACCACCGCAGUCUUCGGGCGCCGGCGAACUUUUUAAACCUGACAUGUGGACCCCCCCUGUCAGCCUCUAUUCUCUUCUCCCUCGAAACAUUUUCUGUUGGCGCCUUCGGGCAAAUACGUUUUCCCUUUGAGCUUGCGCAUUUCUAUUCGAACCGUUUUCUGUUUUCUUAGUUAAACCCCUGGAACUUUUCUGUUUCAUUACAGAUGAGUCCCUGGACAGAAACCCUUAUAACUUUUUAAUAAAAAGUGAUUUUUGAGUGAUUCUUUUUCUGACAAUCUUAUAAUUUUGUCUAGUUUUUUAUGGGAUUUAUUUGGAAAAUUUUUGGAACAACUUUAUGCUCGCGUUGGUUUUCACGUUAGUAUGCUUCUUCGCUAUACCGUAGGUUCCGGAAGAGGUGACGGAGCCGCGAACUUCGCCGAGCUAGACUCCGACUUCUCCAAACCAGGCAAGCAUGUUUGAACCUUUGAUAUGAUAGGUGUUUUGCAUGUUUGCGUGAGAGGUUGUGCGUGGCAUAUGAGUAUCGGUGAGUACCUCGUUGCUUGUGAGGCAACUACCCGCGUGUUCCAAAGUUGCGAUGAUCUCUGGUGAGAGAUGGCCUAAUCAUGUGGUGACAUGGAGGGCUGCAAGGUGGUACUAUUGUAGCAUGCCAGCCUUGCGUCAUCCGACAAUUUCCGACGUUAACGUGGACGGAGUCACGUUAUCGUUCUUCCCCCCUUCCGUGCUACCACUGGUUUUCUGCCAGAAUGCGGUUUAGUAAGUUGGUAACCUCUUUCCGUGUACACACCAAACAGAGGGGCCGGGAUGAUGGUUCCAUAGCCCUGGAUUAAAGCCAGUCAUCCGGUCAGGGGGCAUGGUUGUUUCCGGUUGGGACCGAGAGGGGGGCACCCCUUAGAGCGCGCGUAUAGAAAUUUGAUCCCAUGCUCCGCGAGGUUGUAGCCUCCCCGUCUCGAGGUUUUUCUUGAACGUUGCCGAGGGUGAUUCCUGGCUUCGGAUUGUUGAAUGGGUGUGUACUGGUUAUACGUGUUUCUUCCAAAACACCGUAGACGGAACUAGUCCCCGUGACUACUGAAAUCCGUUGGCUGUGGUUAAAGUACAAACUCUGCAGAGUCAAAUCCUUCCGAGUCAUCGUAUCCAUGGUCAAGUAUCAUGAUCAGUGUAUCCAUAUCUAUGUCAAGUCCUCGUGGUUUGUUCAUCUUUCCGGUAAGUGAGCAUGAGUAGUAGACUUAGCUGAACGUUACUCCUGUGGAUGGACUAACCCUGUUAUUUAUCUCAUGCCUGAUUAGUCUCUGGAUAUGAUUUAAAUUCUUGAGCUAAUAAGAUGUUAAGUUAUGCAGCCCUUUAUGUGAUGUCGCUCAGACGUCCGACUGUGGCAUAUUGAUUAUUUACUUUUGAUAUAAACCCUUUAUGUGACGUCGCUCAGACGUCCGACUGUGGCAUGCACUAUCUUUUAUUUCCUUUUAUAAGCCCUUUAUGUGGUGUCGCCCUGACGCCCGACUGCGGCAUUAUUAUUCUUGCAGUUUCCUCUCGAGGAGUCAUUCAGACCCUCGUUUGGCAACGGUAUUACUAUUCUUGCAGUUUCCUCUCGAGGAGUCAUUCAAACCCUCGUUUGGCACCGGUAUUACUAUUCUUGCAGUUUCCUCUCGAGGAGUCAUUCAGACCCUCGUUUGGCACCCAGUAUUUAUUUUGGGAUUUCGGGAGGACUACCGCCCGAUUUCUUUGUUAUUUUCCCAUGCAUUAUUGUCUCAUGCCUGAACGCACUUGUUAUUCUGUUCUUAUGCUUCAUGUUUACAUUUGUUAUAUCUUAUGUCCGAACUGUCUUGCGAGUACUUUCAUAGUACUCACCUGGCUUGUUGAUUUGGCCAGAUGUUGACGAAGGCGAUCUCUUGGAUGAAGAAUUCGAUAGUGAGUCCGACGCCUAGAGGAAUCCCAGUCAGUCCUGUGCGAUCCUGGAUAUUGGUCACUUGUAUUAUAAACGAUUCCGCUACCCGCAAUAAACCUCCUCGAGCUUCACCCCGACGCUCGAAGAGCUGUAGUUUGCAGGAGUCAUAUCACCCGCUCCGCUGUGAUAUUUCCACCACCGUUGUUAUCGUGAGUUAGUAGUUAUGCCACCCUCUCCGCCGUUAUGUCUAUUCGGCGUGCAUGUAAUCAAUUGUUGAGCAGUCCCCGCUCAACCUUGUAUUAUAUUCAGUACUCCUGGUAUUUUUCUUCUGUGACCAAGAUAAUGUCCACCAGUGUGAAGGAAUUCUUCUCUACUGGUCCGUAAAAGGGAUUGGUCUCUCAAUAAAUAUUUUAUUGAAAAACCGGUCGUGACAUGGAGUAUGUGCCGUAUUAUUUACGGAGUUCGGCCUCUGUGCAUUUGGCGAUGAAGUCAGCCAACACCUGAGAUUUGAGAGCUCGAAGUGGCUUGUAAGUUAUUUCAAAUGGCAAGAGCUCAAUGGCCCAUUUGGCAAUCCGGCCGGUGGCGUCCCGAUUGUUUAUAAUAUCGUUAAGUGGUACUUAGGAAGCCACCGUGAUCGAGCACUCCUGAAAGUAUUUCCGCAGCUUGCGGGAUGCCAUAAAGACUACUUAUGCUAUCUUUUGAUAAUGCAGGUAUCGAGAUUUGCAUGGUGCAAUGACCGUCGAUACAUAGUAUACUGGUUUUGGAAGUGGGAAUUUAUGUCCCUCCUCAUCUCAUUCGACGACGAGCACCACACUCACCGCCUGGUGAGUUGUAGAUAUGUAGAGGAGCAUCGGUUCACCGACAUUUGGUGCGGCCAGGAUUGGGUUACUUGCUAACAGAGCCUUUAUUUCUUCCAGCCCGGCUGUGGCGGCGUUCGUCCACGCGAAGUGUUCAGUGCGGCGGAGCAAGCGAUAUAAUGGCAACGCCUUUUCCCCUAGUCUGGAGAUAAAACGGCUUAAAGCUGUGACGCACCUGGCUAAUUUUUGGACCUGCUUGAGGUCUGUUGGUGUUGCCAACUGUGACAAGGCUCAGAUUUUAGCGGGGUUUGCCUCGAUUCCUCAGUUGGAGACAAUGGACCCAAGCAGCUUUCCGGCUGGAACACCGAAAACGCAUUUUUCCGGAUUGAGCCGUAUGUCAUAUGCUCGGAGGUUGUCGAAUGUAAGGCGUAAGUCAUCCACCAGUGAAUCGACAUGUUUGGUUUUUAUGACUAUGUCAUCUACAUAUGCCUUAUUAAGGUCUUUGAAAUCGACACACAGGCGCCAGGAUUUAUCCUUCUUAGGUACCAUGACCAGGUUUGCUAGCCAAUCCGGAUGUUUGAUCUCUCUUAUAAACCUGGCUUUGAGUAGCUUGGCUAGCUCCUCCCCCAUAGCAUGUCAUUUGUGUUCGGAAAAUCGGCGUAGAGUUUGCUUGACUGGUUUGUAUCCUUUUAGUAUAUUGAGACUAUGCUCAGCCAAGCUCCGGGGGAUACCUGGCAUAUCUGAAGGGUGCCAAGCAAAAUUCUCCCAGUUCUCACGCAGGAAUGCGCGUAAUGCAGCGUCCACUGUCGGACCCAGCUGUGCCCCAAUGGAAGUUAUUUUCUUGGGGUCCGUCGGGUGGACCUGAAAUUUGACUAUUUCGUCUGCUGGCUUGAAGGAAGUGGAUUUGGGUCUCUUAUCGAGGAUUACAUCGUCCCUAUCUACUGUAGAACGUAGAGUGGUCAAUUCCUCGGCCGCGAGGGCCUCGGAUAAUGCCUCAAGAGCCAGAGAGGCAGUUUUGUUUUCAGCACGGAGUGCUAUGUCCGGAUCAUUGGUGAUAGUGAUAAUUCCAUUGGGCCGGGCAGUUUGAGCUUCAUAUUCCCAUAAUGGGGUACGGCUUGGAAGCGCGUGAAUGCGUCUCGCCCCAGCAAAGCAUGAUACCCGUUGUUGAAUGGUGCCUCAUGGAAGAGUAACUCUUCGGAUCUGUAGUUCUCCGGCGUGCCGAAUACCACGUCGAGUUCGAUUUUUCCCGAGCAUCUGGCUUCUCGGCCGGGGAUAAUACCGCGAAAGGUUGUGUUACUUUGCUCAAUGCGACUCCUGUCCAUUUGCAUUUUAUUGAGCGUGUCCUCGUAAACUAGGUUCAGUCCGCUACCGCCGUCCAUGAGCAAUUUGGUGAGCUGAAAGCCAUCUACGAUCGGGUUUAGCACCAAAGCGGCUGGUGCCCGGACUGAGCGGGCUCUUGGUUCGUCAUCGGCAUUGAAAGUGAUUGCCGUUUCGUUCCAAGGAUUUACUGCUGCCACAUGGCAGACUUCGGCGAGGUCGCGGAGCGCCCUUUUGCGCCGAUUAUUUGAAGAAAAGGUCUCGAAGACCGUGAAUACUUUGGGAUCAUUGUCGUCCGAAGAGUAGUUCUCUGGAGUGUUGUUAGUGAGGAUACACUCGCCGCUCUUGGCCACCUGCCGGAGUAUCCAACAUGCUCGAAGGCUAUGCGUUGGUUCAUUGUCCGGCGUCAUGUGAAUUUUACAGGGCUUGUCCAGCCAUUCCUCGAGGACAGUUCUAUGCCCCAUAACGGGUUUAAUUUUCUUGUCCAUGGCAUGGUGAUUGGGUGCUCCGCGGGGGUGCAUCGUCUUUGCCCGUCCGGGGGAUGGCCUAAAGGCAUGCGGUUCCCAGCGGGCUGUCUGGGUUUUCCAGGCGCUUUCCAUUGUGCAGUACUUCUGUACCAUGUGUCCCAAAUCGGCAAAGUGCAGUACGCGACGGCGGUUGAGGGCAUUAUGGAUUCCCUCAUCCGUGCAAUUGUUGAAAAAUACCAAGAUCGUGUGAUCGUCACAACAAUCCUUGAUCUUGUUUUUAACAAGUAGGAAUCUAGCCCAAAAGUGGUGGACUGUUUCCUGAGACUGCUGCCGCACAUACAUUAAGUCGCAUAUGUCCGGAGGACCGGAGUUGGUUGGGGAAUAUUUCUUGUGGUGGUUGGACGGGUUCAAAUCCGAACCCUGACCCACUGAGAAGUCCGGAUUUUGAAGACUUUCCGAGGUUACAGGCCUGGACUCCGGAGCAUCCGGUGCGUUUGUAGGCUCAACGGCCGAUUCCAUGUUCGGAGGCCAAGAAGUGUCUUCCAGAAGACGGGAGUCCGGUUCUCCGAGCUCGAAAACCCGAACAUACUUUGUUCUCAACAUAGGAGAAGAGUCCUUGUCGGCUUGUUCCUCCACGAUUGCCACAUGAUGGGUGAUCGGCGGAGAUCUGAUUUCUCUCUGAUCGGGUUUAAGCCCAAUCCGAUCACAGUCGGUUGCGACCCCCAGGGCGGCGAUGCGAUCUAGUAGUUUGUUUAAGGCUGAUACAUCUGCCGGAUCCAUCUUGUCGGAGUAUUCAGGGUCGACGCGGAGGCGAUUUUUGGCGAUGAGUUGGGCUGCUUCUGGCUUAACGGCCGGGCAAGCACCCAUGAUGAAGCUGCCAAGCCGGAGGGUUUGCCCUAAAGCUAGGGCUUCUCCGGAAGUGAUGUCGUCUUUGAUGACAAGGAGAGCCAUCAAUCCUUCUAUCAACGGCACAGAGGAACUCUCAAUGAAAGCACCAAUGUCGGUGUCAAAACUGGUAGAUCUCGGGUAGGGGGUCCCGAACUGUGCGUCUAAGGAUCGAAGGUAACAGGAGGCUGGGGACACGAUGUUUACCCAGGCUCGGGCCCUCUUAAUAGAGGUAAUACCCUACUUCCUGCUUGAUUGACUUUGAUGAGUAUAGGGGUUACAAGAGUUGAUCUACCUCCAGAUCGUAAUGGCUAAACCCUAGAUGUCUAGGCUGUAUGAUUGUGAUCGCCCCUAAGGACUAAACCCUCCGGUUUAUAUAGGCACUGGAGGGGGCUAGGAUUGUACAAAGUCGGUUUACAGAGGAAGGAAACUACACAUCCGGACGCCAAGCUUGCCAUCCACGCAAAGGAGAGUCCCAUCCGGACACGGGAGAAGGCCUUCGGUUCUGCAUCUUCACGGCCCGUUAGUCCGGCCCAUGUCACAUAGGGUGGCUCUCCGAAGACCCCAUAAUCUAGGACUCCCUCACUAAUACACCCAAUCGUGGACUCAUCCAUCUUCCUCCAAUGGUGUUUAAACCAAAGCAAUGGAGACCAAAGCUCUGAUACCAAUUGAAUGGAUCGAGAAUAGUUGUCUAGAGGGGGGUGGUGAUUAGACCCUCAACAAGUAAAGAUAGCAGUUUUCAGGUUUUUCAAGUUGAGGUUGCAAAUUAGCACAAUUUCAAGCAUUCGCAAUACAAUUCAAGCAAGCAUGCAAAUAGUAUAUGAGCAGCGUAAAGUAAAGCAUGCAACUUGCAAGAAAGUAAAGGGAUGUUUGAAGACACGGAGAUUUUUGGCGUGGUUCCGAUAGGUGGUGCUAUCGUACGUCCACGUCGGUGGAGACUGGAACCCACGAAGGGUAACGGCUGCGCGAGUCCACGGAGGGCUCCACCCACGAAGGGUCCACGAAAAAGCAACCUUGUCUAUCCCACCAUGGCCAUCACCCACGAAGGACUUGCCUCACUAGGGUAGAUCGUCACGAAUUAGGCAAUCUCCUUGCCCUUACAAACUCCUUGGUUCAACUCCACAAUCUUGACGGAGGCUCCCAGGUGAGACCUAACCAAUCUAGGAGAUACCACUCUCCAAAAGGUAAUAGAAGGUGUGUUGAUGAUGAACUCCUUGCUCUUGUGCUUCAAAUGAUAGUCUCCCCAACACUCAACUCUAUCUCACAGAUUUGGCUAUGGUGGAAAGAUGAUCUGAGUGGAAAGCAACUUGGGGAAGGCUAGAGAUCAAGAUUCUUGUAGUUGGAUUGGAAUGUCUUGGUCUCAACACAUGAGUCAGUGGUUCUCUCUUAGAAAAUGAGUAGUGGAAGUGUAGACACAAUCUGAUGGCUCUCUCACUAAUGGAGAAGGGGGUGGAGGGGUAUAUAUAGCCUCCACACAAAAUCUAACUGUUUCACACAAAUUCCCAAAUUCACUGGGACCGAAUGGUUAAACUCUGUCAGACCGACUUGGUUCAAAAUAUGAACAUUAGGGUUUUUGGUGGGACUGACAAGGUCAACUCGGUGAGACCGAUGUGCUAGGGUUAGGGCAAAACCUCAUCUCGGUGAGACCGAUUGCGUGAACUCGGUGAGACCAGUUUCAGCAAUAAGCAAACAGAGACUUGGUCAAGCAAACUCGAUGGGACUGACUGCGUAUCUCGGUGAGACCAAAAUAACUGCAAUAGGUAACAGAGAGUUUGCAAGGCCAUCUCGGUGAGACCGAGCUGAUUAGGGUUUGUGGCAGUGGCUAUGAAAAGUGAACUCGCUCAGGGCCGGCCCUGGGGGGGCAAGGGGGGCGGCCGCCCCGAGCCGCCAAAAACCACCCCCCCUAAAUGUAUGCAUGUAGCAGGAGGGCGCCACGAGUAGGAGGCCCGAUCGGGAAAAAAAGAGAAAGAAACCAGGCCCAAUCGGCAACAGCGAUGCCCGAUCCCAGCGGCCAGUGAUCGCGAGAUCGUUCCCAGGAAACAACGAGAGAUCCUCUAGAAAAAAAGGAAAGAUAGCGAAUUAGAGAGCGAUCAGCGCCUAGACGCGAUUCCCUUCCUGUUACAUUCGACGCCUUUCUUCCAUCAUGAAGAGUUCCCAGGUCCCAGCCCUACGGCCCUACCUGCUGGCCGCCGACGCCGUGCACGCACAGACACACUCCGACCUCGCCAUCCCUUAGUAAUCCUUUCUAAUAUGAUUAUGUUGGUCGUUGUUUUUAGUUCUGGGGCCCCCAUCUUCACCCUACUUUGGUCUUUGCUCAAUUGCUCUCCUCUCGGUCAUCUGCAGACUCUAGACACAUACAGACUACUGAAGUUUGAUCGUAAGGAUUCUGGACAUUAGGUAUUGAGGUAUAUUAUUCAUACAACAAAUUAUUUGGACUUUGGUUUAGAGCUAGCACCGUUCAACAAUUGAUUCAAUAUUUUUUUCAACAUUGUGUUUGUUCUCAUGGCGCCUGGCAAGAGGAACUAUCGACCGGGUAGCCAAAAAAGGAAAAAAAGGAGAAAGAGAAUAAAUUUAUAAAUUCACAGCGCGGAGGUAUUCGCAAAUUUCUCAAGCCAAGUAAUAUUGGUGCCUCUACUACUCUGCCAGACCCAGCUGAUGCGUUGGCGAUUGUUGCCAUUGUGGAAGAGCCACAAACUAAUGAAAACUCAGACUCUGAUCAGCACUACUAGAAAAAGGGCUAUAGAUGGGAUUGGCACUAAUGGCGCACCAGACAAGCCGUGCGCCAUUAGUAUAUACUAAUGGCGCACCACCCUCUGAUACGCCAUUAGAGAUGAAACUACUAAUGGCGCACGUGGCCCAGGGUGCGCCAUUAGUAUGAAAAAUAAUUUUUUUUUUAACUAGUGCGCCUGUCCAAACAUACUAAUGGCGCAUCCAGACAAAGUGCGCCAUUAGUAGUUGAAACUACUAAUGGCGCACCUGGGCCAGGGUGCGCCAUUAGUAUCAAAAAAAUUUUUUAACUAGUGCGCCUGUCCAAACAUACUAAUGGCGCAUCCAGAGACAGUGCGCCAUUAGUAGUUGAAACUACUAAUGGCGCACCUGGAUCAGGGUGCGCCAUUAGUAUCAAAAAAAAUUAACUAGUGCGCCUGUCCAAACAUACUAAUGGCGCAUCCUGACCACGGUGCGCCAUUACUAGUUGUAACUAGUAAUGGCGCACCUGGCCCAGGGUGCGCCAUUAGUAUAAAAAGUUUUUUUUAACUAGUGCGCCUGUCCAAACAUACUAAUGGCGCACCACCAGGAGGUGCGCCAUUAGUAACCUGGAUUACUAAUGGCGCAUCUAGAGUUGGUGCGCCAUUAGUAAGUGGGCAGCAACAAGAUAUUUUGGACAGCCUCUCCUACCCACACUCACUUUCUCCCCACUUCAUUCUCUCCACCUCCUCCUUGUCUCGGGUGCCUCCUCUUUUUCACCUCAUUUCCACCAUAGAUUCAUUCAAUUUAAGUGGUUAAAUUACCUUGUUUUGAUAGGUAAGUAACGGGGGAAGCUAUAUUUAUGUUGUUCUCCCUACAACAAUGUGCACAUGCACUUUUUAUGGCCUAGCUAGAACUAUGUAUGUUCGUGGUGUUGCAUAUGUGUUUGUGUUUGGAGGGGUACCGGUAUUUGAAAUGCGAUAGUUGCCAAUAUUUUGCCGGAAUGUUGAUUCAUUUCCGUUUCGGCGAGAAUUUUGGCAUUAAGCAUUCUUUUUGGUCCUAUUUUUAGGGAAAGUCAUGCCAAAUUUUUUCUUGGUUCUAAAAUAUCGUUUUGCUCUACCCCGCAGGCGACCAUGGUCCGCAUGAUGACCGAAGGCAUCGUGAAUAGGUUUUUGAGGUCCGCGAAGGCCGAGAUGCAGCAAGAAGAAAAUAUAAACUCCAACAUCGGCGAUGACAAUGUAAGUGGCUCCGAGAAUGUAGGUAAUUCGUCAGAUGAACAACCAGUUUAUACCGCCGAUAUUUAUGAUCCAAAAUACUGGGAUAAUCUUGAUAAUAAAGCAAGAGAUGUCUUUGUUGAGAAAGGGCCUAUCAGAGAGGAAAAAAUGGAAUACCAUGUAGAUGAAGCAGGAAGACAUUUUUCGUAUGGUCAUUAUCAUAGAAAAUUAAGCAAUCGAGAGGAGCAUGAUAGGAAAUGGCUAGUUUAUUCAAAAAAUGUCAAUAAAGUUUUUUGCUUCUGUUGUAAGAUCUUCAAGUCUAGCACCAACAGGAGUCUGAGUUCCUUAGCACAUGAUGGACUAGGACAUUGGAGGCAUAUUAGUGAGAAGCUCAAAGAACAUGUAAAUAGCAUUGAGCAUAUUAAUAACAUGAAGAAGUGGAAUGAAUUGAGAGUUAGACUGAGAAAACAGGAAACUAUUGACAAGGAUUUGCAACAUCAAAUAACAAAGGAGAAAGAACGUGUCAGGCAAGUUCUGUUAAGAAUAAUAGCAGUUGUGAAAUAUCUUGGUAAACACAACUUGGAUUUUCGUGGAAGUUGUGAGUAACUUUACAAGGAUGAUAAUGGUAAUUUCUCAGCUUGCAUUGAGAUGGUUGCAGAAUUUUAUAUGGUAAUGCAAGAUCACCUUAGACGUGUUGAGAACAAGGAAAUCCAUUAUCACUAUCUCAGUCAUAAAAUACAAAAUGAGCUGAUAUCUCUUUUGGCUUUUGACAUCACAUGUACUAUCAUAAAGGUUGUUAAAGAGCCCAAGUAUUUCUAUGUUAUCCUAGAUUGUACCCCUGAUGUUAGUCAUGAAGAACAAAUGACCUUUUUAGUUCGACGUGUUAAUCUGUCUGAUGGCAAAACAAAAAUCGAGGAGUACUUUCUGGGGUUCUUGAAAGUGGAUGACACUUCUGGCUUAGGGAUUUUCAAAGUACUGCUUGAUUCUGUUGAGUCUUUUGGCCUAAAUAUGCAAGAUAUAAGGGAUCAAGGAUAUGAUAACGGUUCUAAUAUGAAAGUAAACUACUGAGGGGUACAAUCUAGGUUACUUGAUAUGAAUCCAAGAGCAUUAUAUAUGCCAUGUGCAUGUCAUAGUCUAAAUCUCACUCUCUGUGAUAUGGCAAAAUCAUGUGAGAAAGUUGUUUCAUUUUUUGGAAUUGUUCAACGUAUAUAUGUAUUAUUUGCUGGCUCUACAAAAAGGUGGAAUGUUUUGCUUAAACAUGUUCCUAGUUUGACCGUGAAACCAUUGUCCAAUACCCGUUGGGAGAGUAGAAUCAAAAGUGUUACAACAAUAAGAUAUCAAGCCGCUGAGUUAAGGUCAGCUUUGUCUAAGUUACGUCAUGCUUCUGACACUAAUCCUAAAGAUAAAAGUGAUGCCAAAAAUUUAUUUGAUGCACUUGGUCGCUUUGAGUUUCUAGUUGGUACGAUUAUCUGGCAUGAUAUUCUAUUUGAUGUAAAUAAAGUUAGCAAGAUGUUGCAAUUGUCAACCAUGUGCAUUGACUCCGCUUUGAAGAAGAUAAAAGGUAUAACAAAAUAUUUUGAGAAUUACAGAGAUGAGGGGUUUUCUUCAGGUCCGACCAUCACUAAAGGUAUUGCAACUGAAAUGGGAAUAGAGCCAUGGUUUCCAGUGAAACGUUGUGCUAAGAGGAAGAAAUAGUAUGAUGAAAGUCAUUCUCAAGAAGAAAUCCUAGAAGCUGAGAAGGCUUUCCAAGUUAAAUAUCUUAAUGCUUUGGUUGAUAUGGCGAUAACUUCUUUGAAUGAUAGAUUUAAAGAACUCAUGGUCUUUAAAGAUAUAUUCGUAUUUUUAUUGAGCUCAGGCACUCUCACGUCAUUAAGAGACAAUGAACUUGAAGAAUGUUGCACAAAAUUUGCAGAAGCUUUCUCUCUUAAUGGUUCAUCUGAUGUUGAGGUAUAUGAUCUUAUUUCUGAAUUGAAGAUUAUGAGAAUCACUUUGCCAGAUAGCGCAAUGUCUGCUAUGGAGAUUUUCGGGCAUGUCAGAGAAGUUGAUUGUUACCCCAAUAUAUCCAUUGCCCAUCGCAUCUUAUUUAUUGUGCCUGUGACGGUCGCAUCGGCCGAGAGAAGCUUUUCGAAGUUGAAAUUAUUGAAGAAUUAUUUGAGGUCAACAAUGACUCAAGAGAGGUUAAAUGGUUUGCCCACAUUAUGCAUCGAGAAGAAAUUAUUGGAUCAGAUUGACAUCGACCCCAUCAUAAUUGACUUUGCAUCGAGGAAUGUUAGAAGAAAUUUUGAAGGUAUUAUGUAAAAAAAAUUGAUACGCAUACAGAUUUUGGAUUUAAGUGUUACUGGUAAUAAUAUAUAUAUAUAUAAAUAUAUAUUUUUAGACAAAUAUAUAUAUAUGCACACGUAUAUUACAAUGGCUUGUAUAUUAGGGGCCCCCAAUUUUUAGUUCGCCCCGGGCCCCCGAAAUCUCAUGACCGGCCCUGAACUUGGUGGUGCCGGAUGAAUCAAAUCGGUGGGGCCGAGUUUGACUUUAGGUUUAAGACAUAUGUGGAAAUGAGAAAGUAGUUGAGAGCUUUUGAGCAUAUCACUAAGCACUUUGACCAAGCAAGCCAUUAAGCAACACCUCAUCCCCUUUUAAUUGUAUUGGCUUUCCUAUGGACUCAAUGUGAUCUUGGCUCACUAAAAUGAAAAUGUAGAGUCCUGAGCUUUUGCCAAUGUUUGUCCUUCGCAUCUUGAAGGGGUUCCACAUCCUCUUGUCCUACCACUCCAAUGUUGAACUCAUCUAAAAUAUACAAGGUAGAAGUAUUAGUCCAACAAGAGAUAUGUUGACAUUAAUUACCAAAAUCACCCAGGUAGCUCUUGUGCUUUCAGAAACCUAUGGCCCCUGGGUCUAUUUUACAUCAUAUUAGUUUCCCGUCAACUUGCCAAUUUCUGUCGCCGUUUCUUUAAUUUGCAAUUGAGGGAGUCCUGGAUUAGGGGGUGCUCGGACAGCCGACCUAUAUACUUUGGCCGGACUAUUGGACUAUGAAGAUACAAGAUUGAAGACUUCGUCCCAUGUCCGGAUGGGACUCUCCUUUGCGUGGAAGGCAAGCUUGGCGAUUCGGAUAUGUAGAUCUCCUUCUCUGUAACCGACUCUGUGUAACCUAGCUCCCUCCGGUGUCUAUAUAAACCGGAGGGUUUAGUCCGUAGGACGAACAACAAACAUAAUCAUAGGCUAGCUUCUAGGAUUUAGCCUCUACGAUCUCGUGGUAGAUCAACUCUUGUAAUACUCAUACCAUCAAGAUCAAUCAAGCAGGAAGUAGGGUAUUACCUCCGUCGAGAGGGCCCAAACCUGGGUAAACAUUGUGUCCCCUGCCUCUGUUACCAUUAGCCUUAGACGCACAGUUCGGGACCCCCUACCCGAGAUCCGCCGGUUUUGACACCGACAUUGGUGCUUUCAUUGAGAGUUCCACUGUGUCGUCACGAUAAGGCUUGAUGGCUCCUUCAAUCAUCUGCAACGAUGCAAACCAGGGUGAGGUAUUCCUCCCCGGACAAAUCUUCGUAUUCAGCGGCUUCUCACUGCGGGCCAACUCGCUUGGCCAUCUGGAGCAGAUCGAUAGCUAUGCCCCUGGCCAUCAGGUCAGGUUUGGAAGCCUGAACUACAUCGCCGACAUCCGCGGAGACUUGAUCUUCGACGGAUGCGCCCCGAACAGUCACGAUGAGCAUGACCUAGAUCGGCCAUCGGACGGUGCUCGGGAAAUCAUGCCGGCGGCUGCCCCGGCCGUUAAUCUGGAGCAGAUCGUGCCAUCCGAGGACGGGUGGAUGGACCCCGCCACGGAGGCCGCACACUCAUCGGUGAUAGAGCCGAACACAGAUCUCAGUUCCAAUGAGGCCUGUGUCAUCAGACCUUCGGACUCGUCUCCGGCCAUAAGCUCCGAACCGCGUACAUCCGUGCCUACCGAAUCUGAUUGGGCACCGAUCAUGGAGUUUACCUCCGCGGAUAUCUUUCAGCACUCGCCCUUGGGCGAUGUGCUAAAUUCAUUGAGAUCUCUCUCCCUGUCAGGAGACUCUUGGCCGAACUAUGUCCGGCUCGAGUGGGAAGCGGACGACGAAGAAAUUCGUUCCCCACCCACCGCCCACUUAAUAGCCGAUGUCGAUGACUUUACCGACAUGCUUGACUUUGACUCCAAAGACAUCGACGAUAUGGACGACGGUGCCGAAGAGGAACAGGAACCACCGCCCACAGGGCGCUGGACAGCCACCUCAUCAUACGACAUAUGUAUGGUGGACACACCCAAAGGAGGCAAUGGCGAUGAGGCAACAGAGGAUAACCCCCUUGAGAAGCAAUCUACGCACCGGCGUCAUAGGCGCCGCGCUAAGCCCCGCCAUAGCAAAAAUAGUGAUACCGACACAGGAGACAAUAACGCUCCAGAUGGUGCAAAAGACGAAAACAACCCCGCCGAGCCAGACUUUGAGCAGGCCGAACAGGAGGAUGGGCAAACUAGCCCUGAUGAUCAGGCAACGGAUGGAGACUUGGAGGACGACAAUUACAUGGCCCUCUCCGAAGACGAGGCGAGCCUCGGCAAUGAUGAAUUCAUCAUGCCUGAGGACCCCGUCGAGCAGGAGCGCUUCAAGCGCCGGCUUAUAGCCACUGCAAAAAGCCUGAGGAAAAAGCAGCAGCAGCUUCAAGCUGAUCAAGAUCUGCUAACUGAUAGAUGGACCGAGGUCCUGGCAGCCAAGUUACCCAAAGCGCAAGUUGUUACCUCAAUUCGAGGAGGAGGCACUAGAGCCUACACUACCAGCGCAUGAUGCGGCUGACCGGCCACCACGUGGCCGGGAUAAAGCAUAUCAGCCCGAACACCAGCCCGCACCCCAUCGCCAUUCAAACAAAAACAUGAAGGCCCGGGGCUACACGCAGGACAUGCGAGAGGUAUUAGAAAACAAAGCAGGGCAGUCAAGAUCGAUCUACGGAUCACGGGGGCGCGCCCCAACGCGUGUCGACGAUCACCACACCGGAUACACUAAGUAUAAAUCCGGCCGGGCCGAAUACAACCGACCAGACUCACUUGAACUGCGUCGCAAUAUAGCCCGGCACAGAGGUGCCGCACACCCCCUAUGCUUCACUGACGAAGUAAUGGACCAAGAGUUCCCAGAAGGGUUUAAGCCCGUGAACAUCGAAUCAUAUGAUGGGACAACAGAUCCCGCGGUAUGGAUUGAAGACUUCCAUCUCCACAUUCACCUGGCCCGCGGUGAUGGUCUACAUGCCAUCAAGUAUCUCCCACUAAAACUCAAGGGACCGGCUCGGCAUUGGCUGAACAAUUGGCUGGAAAACUCCAUUGGAAGUUGGGAGAACCUGGAAGACACGUUCCUGGAUAACUUCCAGGGCACCUAUGUGCGACCUCCGGAUGCUGACGAUUUGAGUCACAUUACCCAACAGCCCGGAGAGUCAGCCAGGAAAUUCUGGACUCGGUUCCUAACUAAAAAGAACCAAAUUGUCGAUUGUCCGGACGCCAAAGCCCUAGCGGCCUUUAAGCACAAUAUCCGCGACGAGUGGCUUGCCCGACACCUCGGCCAAGAGAAGCCGAGGUCCAUGGCAGCCGUCACGACACUCAUGACCCGCUUUUGUGCGGGCGAGGACAGCUGGUUGGCUCGCAGCAACAUCACAUCAAGAAAUCCUGGCACCUCAGAGGCCAGAGAUAGCAACGGCAAGCCCCAACGCAACAGACACAAGCGUCGCAGCAAUGGCGAUAACGCCGAAGACACGACCGUCAAUGCCGGAUUCAGUGGCUCUAUGUCCGGUCAGCGGAAGAAUCCAUUCCAAAGAAACAAUCCGGGCCCGUCCAGUCUGGACGCAUACUCGAUCGCUCGUGUCAAAUUCACGGCACCCCUGAUAAACCAGCCAACCACACCAACAGAGAAUGCUGGGUGUUCAAACAGGCCGGUAAGUUGAAUGCCGAAAACAAGGAAAAGGGGCCAAAUAGUGACGACGACGAGGGGCCCCGGCUGCCGAAUAGAGGAGGACAGAAGAAAUUUCCUCCCCAAGUGAAAACGGUAAACAUGAUAUACGCCACCCAUAUUCCCAAGCGGGAGCGGAAGCGCGCACUUAGGGACGUCUAUGCGAUGGAGCCAGUCGCCCCAAAGUUCAACCCAUGGUCUUCUUGUCCGAUCACUUUCGAUCGCAGGGACCACCCUACUAGUAUUCGUCAUGGCGGUUCGGCCGCAUUGGUCCUUGACCCUAUCCUUGAUGGAUUCCACCUAACACGAGUCCUCAUGGACGGUGGCAGCAGCCUGAACCUGCUCUAUCAGGAUACAGUGCGCAAAAUGGGCAUCGAUACCUCCAGGAUUAAACCCACCAAAACCACCUUUAAAGGUGUCAUACCAGGUGAAGAGGCCCGUUGCAUGGGCUCAAUCACACUAGAAGUAGUCUUCGGAUCUCCGACAACUUCCGAAGCAAGGAAUUAAUCUUCGAUAUCGUCCCCUUCCGCAGUGGCUAUCAUGCACUGCUCGGACGAACCGCAUUCGCCAGAUUCAACGCGGUACCGCAUUAUGCAUACCUCAAAGUCAAGAUGUCAGGUCCUCGCGGGUUUAUAACAGUCAAUGGAAACACAGAGCGCUCCCUCCGUACAGAGGAGCACAUUGCGGCCCUCGCAGCAGAAGCACAGAGCAGCCUUCUUAGGCAGACCUCCAGUUCGGCCAUAAAGCCCCCGGACACCGCUAAGCGAGUCUGGAGCACCCUGCAACAGGAUCAGUCGGCAUGUCCUGGGCUCGCCUAGCAAUUCGGCCUCCGUCCUAGUCCUAGUCAAGCAGCAAAAUUUGUGCCGCGCGUACACAACUACGUGCUUAAAAUACCAUGGACACAGGCGGAGGCACAGCUACAAUACGGCUCACAACGCGGUUCGACCGCACCAGGACCCGAAUACCUUCACCCUUUUCUUUCUUUCAGGUCCCUAUUUUCCGAAGGCUCUUCCAAUAACCUGAUUAUUGGACCCAUCAUGGGACGGGAUCGCCAAGGAGGCAAGAAGCUUUGACUUACAAGGGAAUUACCAGGUGGUAUCUGAUAAUGAUCGCUAUGCCUGUUUUACAUACCCGCACGCAGCUCGCUCUUGGCUAGGACAUGUCAAAUAGUCUUGUUUUUCUUAUCGCAUUACUCGUAUACACACGCCUUGACGUACUAUUCCAAUAACAAUGGAAAAUAAUGAUGUACAGCAUCAGCUUAUUAUUACAUUUCCUUAUUUCUUUCCUUGGUUGUUUAUUCAUUUAAAUUCGCAGCCGUACAUUUUGGCACGAUCAGUUCACCAGGGGCUUCAGUGUACCCCAUAACAUGGCAAGAAAAGUCCGAACACUUUCGACGGUGUGGGACCCCGAACUUAUAGCAUUAUAUGCAUCAGCUCUGAAUCAUGUCUUGGGUCAAUAGUUGGGUUUGCCCGGCUCCCUUGUUUUGGUGCCUUACGUUCCGCUAUAUCGGCUAAGGUAGCACAGGGAGAAGUAAUGCGAUUGUGUCCCGGUUCUCCCGGACGAGCACCUCAGUACAGAAAGCCGAAAACUGACUGUCAUGAUGUGGCGAGAGCUGGUCGCUGUUCGAGAGGUCUCAAAUCCUUAAAGAUUUUUUUCGCUUCGGGCGAGGAAUCGGCCUUGUCCGAUUUAGGCAUGUAUAGCGCCCCAAGUUCGGCCUUCCGAAUACCAGGGGCUUCGCCAAAAUUUAAAAUUGUAGACUUCUAUGGCUAAGUGAGAGUGAUAAAGCCGUAUAGUCCGAUUGCCUGGUUCGUUGCGUUAAACACCUCCUUAAAGGACCAAAAAUUUGGAUAAAGAGUGUUUAUGUUUAUCCCGAACACCCUGGUACUAGUUACAUGGGGGUAGAAGCUGACGACUGGCCAACUCUCAGAUUUCAUAAACGGCCGCACAGAAAGGAAUAUUUUAAAUCAACAAGCGUUACAUGGCGCAAAUGAUUUUUUUCAUAUUAUAGGAUAGAAUGAGUACAUUCAUUCAAAUAUUACAUCCUUAGCACAUUCCUCCGCCACAAGGCGGGCGCCCUUCAGAACAUUAUCAUAACAUUUUUCAGGGUGGCGGUGCUCCUUGCCCUUCGGUGGCCCCUCCGUCACCAGCUUCUCGCCAUCCAUCUUCGCCCAGUGCACCUUCGCGCGGGCGAAGGCCCUGCGCGCACCUUCAACGCAGAAUGACCGCUUUAUGGCUUUGAGCCACGGACAGGCAGAUACAAGCCGCUUUACCAGGCCGAAGUAGCUGCCGGGCAGGGGCUCGGCUGGCCACAUCCAGACUAUGAGGUCCUUCAUGGCCAGUUCAGCCGCCUUGUGAAGUUCGACCAAUUGCUGCAGCUGGUCGCGCAAGGUAAUCGGAUGUUCGGCCCCAAUAUACUAGGACCAGAACAACUGCUCCGUCGAGCUCCCUUCCUCAGCUCGGUAGAACACUGCGGCAUCAAAAAUGCUGCAUGGCAGAUCUGCGAAUGCUCCUGGAGAGCUCCAAAUUCGGGUAAGUAAAAAGAAAGUCUCCUUCACAUGCUUGCUUUUCAUAUUGAAUGCCUUACCCGCCGCAAUCUUCUUGGCCGCCUCAACCUCCUGAAGGGACUUUUGGGAUUCGGCCUUGGCGUCUCGCACGCUUUGGAGGGCCUUCGCAAGCUCGGACUCUUACGUCUUAGAGUCACGCUCCAAGGACUCAUAUUUUUUGACAAAGUCCUCGAGCUCUUGCUGUACCUCACCGACGCGGGCCUCUUGCUUCUCGCGUUCGGCGCGCUCCUUGGCCGCUUUGUUUUCGGCCUCGGUCAGCGCCUUUUUCAGGGCCGCCACGUCGGUCGUGGCCCCUAUUAAAUUUCAUAAAAGCUUCUAUGAGCUCAAACCAUUCCUUCUUUAUCAACAUACACACGGGGUAUUGUGUACCUUUAUUCUCCUCGAGCUGCCUCUUCACGAGGCCGAGCUCUUCUUCGGUCCACUCCAGGUCCCGCUUUAAUCCGGAGACCUCCACGGUACGCGCGGCAGCGGCCAGUAGCGACGCCUACUUAUUCACAUAGACAUACUCUGUUAGACUCCUACGGGUGUUAUUUGAUCCUCUGUUCGGCUUUUCUUUCGGAACACCGAACAGAGCAUCCGGGGCUACUGUCUAUACCAUGAUAUUUUCUUAUAAUUUUAUUUACUUACCUCGAAGCCUGUUAGGAGGCUGACGCAGGCUUCGGUCAGUCCACUUUUGGCGGACCGGACCUUCUCAAUCACCGCACUCAUGAUGGUGCGGUGCUCUUCGUUAAUGGAAGCGCCGCGAAGCGCUUCCAACAAGUUGUCUGAUGCCUCUGGAUGGACAGAGGUGUCGGGACCCCGAUUCUAAGUCACACCGAUCUAGCAUGUAACACCUCAUAUCACUUUGCGGCCUCACGCACGGUAUUCCCACGUGUGUCGCCUUACCAUGGCCCGGGACCGUUUGCGCCUUCUGGCUCACGUAUAUGAUAGUGUCGCAAGCAUCCAUAUGACAAAGAACCCGGGCCGACAUGACUAGUCGUGAACCCAAAUUGGCACUAACUUACGGAGACUGGCAUACAUGAAACAACAUCGAGCAUGUCGGUCAGCAGCGUGUGAAUCCGGGCUGUAGCAACUGGGCUAACAGGACUCCGGGAACCCGGGCUGUAGCAGGCUAGGCAGGACUCCGGAUGUCACCGCGUGACAUUUCCCCAAAGGGACAGACACAGGGACGAAGUGACUCACAUGCCGGCCAGUCUAAGUGUUCCGGAGCAGUAGUGCUGGGCUAGCAGGACUCCGGUAAACCGGGCUGUAGCGCACUACCAUGGCUCGGUGGAAGCACUAGACUACAUUUCCCCAUAAGAGAGGCUACCAAGGAUAGACAACUAGGUUGUCGGAUCCCACACAUAGCAAUACACGUUACACGUACGCAUAACAUGCAAGUAUGUGCUGUACAACAUGGCAUCACAACAUAACGCAAACUCAUAUAGAUAAAAGGCCCAGAAGAGCCACAUAGCAUUAAGUACGAACAGGGGUCACAUGACCCAUCAUUCAGAGCAUAGAAGCAACGGAAGCAUUACAUGUCUGAGUACAGACAACUACAAAAGAAAAGACUGAGAAGCCUGACUAUCUACAAGCCCCUCCCAAGGGUACAAGAUCGUAGCUGAGGUACAAGCUACUCGUCGAAGUCCAAGCGGAACUACUAGUAAGACUGAAGUCUCCGCUGCAAAAAAUAAAUAAAGCAAUAUGAGUACAAAGGUACUCAGCAAGACUUACAUCAGAUCCUAUCAUACAUGUAUUUGUAUCAAGAAGGUAGUGUGGGGUUUAGUUGCAGCAAGCCAGCUUUGACUCAGUGGCUAUCCUGUUCUACGACUACGAGAAACUUCUUUGAGGUAAGAAGGCGCACACGAGUCCACUAAUCACCACCUCAAUACACCACUAUGGAUUCAUUCCCGUCGCACUACGAGAAGCCAUCCAUAGCACUCACACUUAUCUUGAGCAUUUUAGGGUAUCCACUUCAAGUUGUCUAUGUACCACGUAAGCAUCCAAGAAGUCCAUAACCGAGGACACAGCUAUUCGAAUAGAUCAUGAUAACCCUGCAGGGGUGUACUGCUUCACACACGCUCUCGCCACUUACCGCCAUGUACACGUCAUGUACCUCGGCAACCUUCAAGCGGAAGCCUGGCGAGGGUGUCGGCCACGACCUGACUAACCACACAAGACUCUAGUCCAGGUUUAUCGCCUAUUCGGGUUCCAUCCGCAAGGAGAUCCGGCCGGGGUGUCGCUCACGGCCCCAAACGAUGUGUACAGGGUUCCUGAGCCCACCAUCCAGGUGCCACUCGGUACACCGGGCCACGUGUGCCUAGUCUGUCCCAAGCCCACCCUGCCAGGUGCCACUCGGUAGAAAAAUAGCACUACCUACAAACACCAGAAACUAGUUGCAACUCCUGGACAGAGAUGAAGUUGGUUAAUAAGUCGAGAGGGGCACUUAAGCAUUCCAAUGUGUGGUAGUAGCUAGUCAUUGGACAACAUACACAGAACUCAGUGCUUAAGGAUGGUUCCAGUGAGACAACCCACCAUGUACUCCUACAUGGCCUCUCACCGCUACCUUUACCAAAUCGUGUUCACGCACUUGACUCUCAGCACCAGAACAUUUCGUAACACUCCAAUCCAUUCCCUAUGAAUCAGACCUGACACAACUCUAAGCAAUAGCAGGCAAGGCAUGGCAGGAACACAACAUGGCUCAAACAACUCCUACACAUGCUAGUGGGUUUCAACUAGUUACUGUGGCAAUGACAGGUCAUGCAGAGGAAUGGGUUCAACUACCGCAGGAUAAAGUAGCAGUUGAAUCGUUGUUGUCCUGAUGCAGUAAAAGAGAGCAGGAGCGAGAGAGUAGGAUUGUAUCGGAAUGAACAAAGGGGGUUUGCUUGCCCGGUAGAUCAACAGGGUGGCACUGCUCCUCAGACAGGUACUCUGGAACACUCUCCGGAGCAGGACCUAUCGAGAAGGAACGGUGUCGACAAUCAAAACACAAUCAUAUGCAACAAUAUGAUGCAUGAGUAUGGCAUGAAUAUGUGAUGCGUUUUGAGCCAAUGCAUUUAGCAUUCUUCUUGGAAGAGAUCCAUUUGAACCAAAGAUUCAAAUGCAUCUCCUAAGUAAGCUCUUAUAUAUGCCAUUUAUAUGUUUUCACCUAUACAGUAGCUAUAAGUUGGUUUUUCAUGCAUGAAACUAGUACAGAUGGAUAGAUUGCAUUUUUCUGAUCAUUUUUCAUAUAUAACUUAUUUCAAUCUGAGUUACGGUUGAAUUUCUAUGAAUUUUAGAAGUUUUACUAAUUUCUGGAAUUUCUUGAUUUAAUUUAAAUCCAAAAAAAGGGUUUAUUGCGUCAGCACUGCGUCAUCAUGACGUUAGCGGGUUAGCGGCGCUGACCAAGUCAAACCUGACGUGUGGGGUCCACACGUCAGUGACUCAUUGUUAACCGGAGUGGUUUUCUAGUUCAUCUAAAUUAUUUAGCGGUGCUGGGGACCAUUGUCAGUGUUAGUGGGGGUAGAUUAGAGGGUGAUUAGCCUUAAGCUAAUCACCUGACAAGUCGGGCCCACAUGGCAGGCCGGAGAGGUCGUCGCCGGCGACCUCUGGACGCGGCGGCGUCCGCGAUAUAGGCCACGGGGGCGGCAGCUGAGGGCACCGGGGCGUAGCCCGGGCUCGUCCGCAUCCAGGGGAGGCGACGGAAGGACGCGGGGAUGCCGGAGCUCGCCGGAAUCAAUCUCGGGGCGGCGGCCAGAGCACGGGUUCGAGCGGGAUGCGGCUACGAGGCACGGCAGGGGCUGCGCAGGUUCACUACGGCUUCCUGGCGUCACCAGGAGCACGGUGACGCGCUCGGGAGCGGCUAGUUUGGCUUCUGGUCACAGUGGCACCAUGGACGGCGGCGAGGCGCUACGGCCGCAGCAAGGAGCAGUGCUGGAGCACGCAAAAGCAAGGGGGAGAAGAGGGGUUCGAGUCAGUGGCUCACGGUGAGGCCGGCGAGCAGAUCAGCAGCUCGGGGGAGGCCCUGCAGGCGACGAGCGGCCGGUGGGGAUCCGCGACGGCUGGAGACGAAGAUGGCGAUGGCGACGGCUCCACGGGGUGCUCCGGCUUGCGUGGCUCGACGGAGAGCUUCAGAGCGAGGAGGCGGAGCUCCUGGGCGUGCCGGAGAGGCGAGGGGGUGGCGGUGGUUAUGGCAACGGUGGCCGGUGGCGACGGCAGCGCUCGGCCGUGAGAGAGAGAGAGCGAGGGGGAAGAGAGAAUGGGCACGGGAGAGAGCGUGAGAGGUGCGGGGCGGCGCGUGGCGUCGUUCGUGCGAUCCAGGCGACGAGGGGAGAAGCAGGAGGUGGCGCGCAUGCGCGCGGGCGGCGAGCGCGUGCCCCUGUCCUCCUGGCGUGAGGAAGGGGACGACUGGCACGGCCAGCUGGCUGGCCCGGCCUGCUGGGCCGCUGGGCCAGGCCAAGUAAGUUUCUCCCUUUUCCUAGUUUGUUUCUGUUUUCUAAUUUUCUGACACUUGUUUGAUUUAGUAGAAAUACUAAACCAUUUAUUUACUUCUGUCAAUUUUUGCAGGGACCUAAGGGAUUAAUCAUAAGCCCCUCACCAAAAUUCAGAAUUUUUGGACAUAUAUAAAAUAUAUAACACAUAUAUAUAUCCAAUGCAAAUAAUUACUGCAUUAAUUCCAAAUGGCCAAGAUAAAUAUUUAUGAGCUCCUAAAAAUAUUGGUUUGAUUUUUAUCUCUGUCCAUUAUUUUCAGGGAGCAACAUGAACAUUUUUCUUGGACCCUUUUGGAGCAAUUUUUAUCUGGGUCAUUUCCAGAAAUGAUUCUGAGGGUUUCACAAAUCCCCAUUUCAAAUUUAAAUGAAAUUUAGACAUGAUGCACACAUGACCAGCUAGUCUAGGUCAUACCAGAACUAGGGACGUGACAACUCGCCCCCACUUGAAAGAAUCUCGUCCCGAGAUUCAGGGGUCGAUGGAAAGAAGGUGGGGUACUCCAGUCGAAGACGAUCUUCUCGCUCCCAAGUAGCUUCUCUCUCGGAAUGAUGAGACCACUGAACCUUGAGAAACUUGAUGUUCUGACGUCGGGUAACACGCUCUGCUUGAUCAAGGAUGCGAACAGGGUACUCUCGAUACGUGAGGUUAUCUUGGAGAUCAAGCGUUUCGUGGUCCACUCCGCGGAUGGGAUCCGAGAAGCAACGCCUGAGUUGAGAGACGUGGAAGACAUCAUUGACUCGAGAUAGAUGUGGGGGUAGUUCCAACUGGUAGGCAACCUCUCCUCAUUUAGCGAGAAUGCGAAAAGGACCAAUGUAACGAGCCGCCAACUUGCCCUUGAUACCGAAACGAUGGGUACCCUUUAUAGGAGUAACCCGAAGGUAAGCCUUCUCGCCAACUUCAUAAGCCACUUCCUUAUGAUGACGGUCAUACUGGCUCUUUUGGCGAGAUUGGGCGGUUUUCAAAUUCUCACAAAUGAUGCGAACUUGCUCUUCUGCCUCCUGGAUCAUGUCCGGUCCAAAGAAUUGUCUUUCACCGGUUUCUGACCAGUUCAAAGGUGUUCGACAUCUUCAUCCAUACAGAAUCUCAAAAGGAGCUUUCUUAAGACUGGAUUGAUAGCUAUUGUUAUAAGCAAACUCGGCGAAAGGUAGGCAUUUCUCCCAAUCCAUACCGAAUGAGAUAACGCAAGCUCUAAGCAUGUCUUCGAGAAUUUGGUUGACCCUUUCCACCUAACCACUUGUUUGAGGGUGGAAAGCGGUACUGAAGGAAAGAUGGGUGCCCAUGGCAGUUUGGAAACUCUCCUAGAUAUGAGAAGUGAAGAGACUACCACGGUCUGAAUUGAUCUCUAGUGGAACACCAUGAAGUGACUCUAUUCGAGAAAUAUAUAAGUCAGCGAGCUGACUAGCAGUGAUACUCUCUCGAACAGGUAGGAAGUGAGCCACUUUGGAAAGACGAUCAAUGACUAUGAAGAUAGCAUUAUUCCCUUUCUUGGUCCUGGGAAAGCCGGUGAUGAAGUCCAUACCAACUUUAUCCCAUUUCCACUCAGGAAUGGCUAAAGGUUGAAGGGUGCCAGCAGGCCUUUGAUGUUCUGCCUUAACGCGACGACAAACGUCACAGUUAGCAAUGAACUGAGCGAUUUCUCUCUUCAUCCUAGUCCACUAGAACCUCUGGCGUAGGUCCUGAUACAUCUUAGUACUACCGGGAUGAAUCGUGAGAGGGGAUUCAUGUGCCUCCUUAAGGAUCAAUUGUCACAGAUGUUGAUUCUUGGGAACCACCAAGCGAUUCUCAAAGAAAACAGCACCUCGAUCAUCCAUAGAGAAACAUCCACCAACUCCCUUCUUAAUGUUUCUCCUGAUGCGGGUAACACCCCUAUCAAACUUCUGGUCAGAAAUGAUCUGAUCCUCAAGGGUAGGUUUUGCCACCAAGGUAGAAAGGAAUCCUUGAGGAGCAAUGUGAAGGUUAAGCCUACAGAAUUCCUCAUGGAGAAGUGGUUGGCCCUGCUGCAACAUAAGAUUGUUGCAAUAGGACUUACGACUUAGCGCAUCAGCCAUGACAUUGCCCUUGCCUGGGGUGUAGGUAAUCCCUAAGUCGUAAUCUGAGAUCAACUCCAACCAACGUCUUUGUUUAAGGUUCAAAUCCAGUUGGGUGAAGCUGUACUUGAGACUCUGGUGAUCGGUGUAAAUCUCUCAACGUUGACCAAGAAGGUAAUGUCGCCAUGUCUUAAGAGCAUACACUACGGCUGCAAGCUCUAGAUCAUGUGUAGGAUAAUUCUCCUCAUGUGGAUGCAACUGUCGAGAUGCAUAGGCAAUCACAUGACGAUCCUGCAUAAGAAUGCAACCUAGUCCCUGUCGUGAGGCGUCGCAGUAGAUAACAAAGGCUUUAGUGAAAUCCGGUGGCACAAGUAUGGGGACAGAAGUCAGGCGUCUUUUCAGUUCCUAAAAACUGUAUUCACACUGUGGGGACCACUCAAACUUUUUAUCCUUCUUGAGAAGUUCCUUGAGGGGUUUGGCUACUUUGGAGAAGUUUUCAACAAAGCGGCGACAAUAACUGGCUUGACCAAGGAAACUCCUAACUUGUUUAACUGUUUCAGGUGGAGUCAAAUCAAGAACGGCCUGAACUCUCUCAGGAUUGACAGCAAUGCCCUUACCAGAGAUCACGUGGCCCAGGUAGGUCACUUCUGGCAACCAAAAUUCGCACUUGGAAAACUUGGCGUAAAGGAGGUGCUCUCUGAGUUUUUCUAACACAAGUCUAAGAUGUUCGGCAUGCUCUUCCUCGUUCUUUGAGUAAAUAAGGAUAUCAUCGAGGUAAACCACGACGAACUUGUCUAAGUACUCCAUGAAGAUCGAGUUCAUCAAGCGGGAGAAGGUAGCUGGAGCAUUGGUUAGACCAAAGUACAUAACGGUGUACUCGUACUGGCCAUAACGAGUGACAAAAGCCGUCUUAGGAAUGUCCCCGUUUCUAAUCUUGAUUUGGUGGUAGCCUAACCUCAAAUCCAUCUUGGAAAAGACUGAGGAUCCAGCGAGCUGAUCAUACAGGUCAUUGAUCCUGGGGAGCGGAUACUUGUUCUUUAUCGUGACCAAAUUAACGGGACGAUAAUCUACAACCAUCCGGUCCGUACCAUCCUUCUUCUUGACGAAGAGGACGGGGCAAGCCCAGGGAGAAGAACUAGGACGGAUGAAACCCUUUUGCAAGGAUUCAUCGAGUUGUUUCUUAAGCUCGGCUAGCUCUAAGGGUGCCAUCUUGUAAGGUCUCCUAGAGAUUGGGGCGGUUCCUGGGAUAAGAUCUAUGACAAACUCUACAUCUCUGUCAGGUGGAAUACCUGGCAGUUCCUCUGGAAAGACAUCUGGAAAGUCACGGACUACCGGGAUAUCUUCAAGGUCUGGAAGAGGACUGGCAUUAAGAGAAUAGAGUUGACGCUUUGCAACUCUGGUGGAGACAGUGACUAACUUGCCAGAUGGGUGUGUGAGUUGAACAAACCUGGUGUAACAAUCAAUCUUGGCAUGAUGAGCUGUCAUCCAGUCCAUACCCAAGAUGAUGUUAAUAUCUGUAGACUUGAGGGCUAUAAGUGAGGCAAGGAAUACAAGUCUGUCAACAAGGAUUUCAUUACCAUGGCUUAUUCUGGUAGUUUGCCAUCUAGACCCUGGAGUUUGGAUUUCAAGUGGAGUUGGCAUAUCACAAAAUGACAUGUCGUGCAAACGAGCAUAGCCUUCAGAGAUGAAGGAGUGAGAUGCUCUAGUAUCGAAUAGAACCGAAGCUAGAUGGCAAUUGACAAGGAGUGUACCAAGAACGACAUCCGGAUCAUCAUGAGCGUCUUUAGCUGAGGCGUGAUGCACACGUCCACGCUCAGUGGGAGCUGACUUGACACUGAUCAUCUUGCGUGAUGGCUUACCACUGCCAACAGACUUCUCAGGCAGGGGUGGGGCAUAGUUAGUUUGAGAGCAGUCACGUGCAUAGUGUCCUGGCUUCCCGCAUGUGAAGCAAGUCCCUGAAGUUGGAUGUGGACCCGCAUUGACAAGCGGUCUACCAAUAGGCCUCGGUGGAGCAUACUGCUGAACUGGGUGAGGCGCCACAUAAGAUGGCCUCGGUGCAUAUCCAGGUGGAAGAGCGGAGUUCGGAACCCAAAUCCGGCGCUUAUGAGAACUAGAACCAGAGGAAGAAACCAAAUCACGGGUGUGCUUACGAGACUCCUCGUAGGUGAGCUGAGCUGUCUCCGCAUUAAUGGCCUAGUUCACAAGAGCCUGGAAUGUACUGCAAUGGUGCAAGUGGAGAUCACGACGCAACUUGGGGUUGAGACCCUUCCGGAACCUAGCCUGCUUCUUAGCGUCCGUGGACACUUCUUCUGUAGCAUAGCGGGCGAGGUUCUCAAACUCUCUACUAUAAGCAUCAACAGCCAUCUUACCCUGGGUGAAACUACAGAACUCUUCUCUCUUGCGGUCAAUGAGAGCCUGAGGAAUGUGAUGCUCGCGAAAAGCCUCAGUGAAAUCUCUCCAGGUCGGUAUCUGGCCAGCUGGAAGCAUAGCCUCAUAGUUCUGCCACCAAAACUAGCAGGACCUUCCAGGUGAUAUGCAGCAUAAGUGACCUUGUCACCUUCAGCUACGUUCGCAGAAUGCAGCUUGUGUGUGAUACUACGGAGCCAGUCAUCUGCAUCGAGUGGCUCAAUGGAAUGAUGGAAGGUAGGUGGUUUCAGACCAAUGAAAUCAUAGAUGGUCGCUGACUCUUUGCACUGGGGUGCGGUGUUCUCCUCGAUACGAGCUAACAAGCUGUUAGACUCAUGCUUGUUCCUCUCCAUCUCUAACAUAAACUCUGCCAACGAAGGCUGGUCGGAAGGAUCCUCCUCAUCCCUACCACCUCCGUGGUUCAGGCAACGAGCAACAGAACUUCGGUUAACAGACGACAUCCUGAGAAGCGGAACCAAGGACGAGGUCAACAACAACUAUAGGAUGCAACAUGUAGCAUAAGAAAAUUUAGUAUCUCUCAAGCUCCUAGGAUAAUUCCGGCGGCAUAACGGCAGUAAAAUGCUCAAAAUGAGACAUUCUACAAAGGACGGGGUAGCACCAUACUCAACAUCAUCACUCAAGGUUCUGAGAUAUUACUAAGCAGGCUACACCGGAGGUACACAAACUGGGGUAUGACUCUGAUCAACCAAUCCUAAGAGACUACGGAGUAGUAACACGUGAUCCUGAUAGACAGAAGAGAAAGCCUAGUUCCUUAACCCCGUAGGAAAGAUAGGAUGACUCAGAUCAGAAGGGCAUGAGGUAAAAGAAGUAAAAUAGCCCUACGUUCCCUUCCACAAUCAAUUCCCUUACAUAACUAAAGAAUUUCUAGACUCAACUUCGACCAGGUUGGCUUGGAAAUCCUACAGGCAGUCAGGCUCUGGUACCAAAGCUGUCGGGACCCCGAUUCUAAGUCACACCGAUCUAGCAUGUAACACCUCAUAUCACUUUGCAGCCUCACGCACGGUAUUCCCACGGGUGUCGCCUUACCAUGGCCCGGGACCGUUUGCGCCUUUUGGCUCACGUAUAUGAUAGUGUCGCUAGUGUCCAUAUGACAAAGAACCCGGGCCGACAUGACUAGUCGUGAACCCAAAGUGGCACUAACUUACGGAGACAGGCAUACAGGAAACAACAUCGAGCAUGUAGGUCAGCAGCGUGUGAAUCCGGGCUGUAGCAACUGGGCUAACAGGACUCCGGGAACCCGGGCUGUAGCAGGCUAGGCGGGACUCCGGAUGUCACCGCGUGACAUUUCCCCGAAGGGACAGACACAGGGACGAAGUGACUCACAUGUCGGCCAGUCUAAGUGUUCCGGAGCUGUAGUGCUGGGCUAGAAGGACUCCGAUAGACCGGGCUGUAGCGGGCUACCAUGGCUCGGUGGAAGCACUAGACUACAUUUCCCCAUAAGAGAGGCUACCAAGGAUAGACAACUAGGUUGUCGGAUCCCACACAUAGCAAUACACGUUACACGUACGCAUAACAUGCAAGUAUGUGCUGUACAACAUGGCAUCACAACAUAACGCAAACUCAUAUAGAUAAAAGGCCCAGAAGAGCCACAUAGCAUUAAGUAACAACAGGGGUCAGAUGACCCAUCAUUCAGAGCAUACAAGCAACGGAAGCAUUACAUGUCUGAGUACAGACAACUACAAAAGAAAAGACUGAGAAGCCUGACUAUCUACAAGCCCCUCCCAAGGGUACAAGAUCGUAGCUGAGGUACAAGCUACUCGUCGAAGUCCAAGCGGAACUACUAGUAAGACUGAAGUCUCCGCUGCAAAACAUAAAUAAAGCAACAUGAGUACAAAGGUACUCAGCAAGACUUACAUCAGAUCCUAUCAUACAUGUAUUUGUAUCAAGAAGGUAGUGUGUGGUUUAGUUGCAGCAAGCCAGAUUUGACUCAGUGGCUAUCCUGUUCUACGACUACGAGAAACUUCUUUGAGGUAAGAAGGCACACACGAGUCCACUAAUCACCACCUCAAUACACCACUAUGGAUUCAUUCCCGUCGCACUACGAGAAGCCAUCCAUAGCACUCACACUUAUCUUGAGAAUUUUAGGGUAUCCACUUCAAGUUGUCUAUGUACCACUUAUGCAUCCAAGAAGUCCAUAACCAAGGACACGGCUAUUCGAAUAGAUCAUGAUAACCCUGCAAGGGUGUACUGCUUUUCACACGCUCUCGCCACUUACCGCCAUGUACACGUCAUGUACCUCGGCAACCUUCAAGCGGAAGCCUGGCGAGGGUGUCGGCCACGACCUGACUAACCACACAAGACUCUAGUCCAGGUUUAUCGCCUAUUCGGGUUCCAUCCGCAAGGAGAUCCGGCCGGGGUGUCGCUCAUGGCCCCAAACGAUGUGUACAGGGUUCCCGAGCCCACCAUCCGGGUGCCACUCGGUACACCGGGCCACGUGUGCCUAGUCUGUCCUAAGCCCACCCAACCGGGUGCCACUCGGUAGAAAAAUAGCACUACCUACAAACACCAGAAACUAGUUGCAACUCCUGGACAGAGAUCAAGUUGGUUAAUAAGUCGAGAGGGGCACUUAAGCAUUCCAAUGUGUGGUAGUAGCUAGUCAUUGGACAACAUACACAGAACUCAGUGCUUAAGGACGGUUCCAGUGAGACAACCCACCAUGUACUCCUACAUGGCCUCUCACCGCUACCUUUACCAAAUUGUGUUCAUGCACUUGACUCUCAGCACCAGAACAUUUCGUAACACUCCAAUCCAUUCCCUAUGAAUCAGACCUGACACAACUCUAAGCAAUAGCAGGCAAGGCAUGGUAGGAACACAACAUGGCUCAAACAACUCCUACACAUGCUAGUGGGUUUCAACUAGUUACUGUGGCAAUGACAGAUCAUGCAGAGGAAUGGGUUCAACUACCGCAGCAUAAAGUAGAAGUUGAAUCAUUGUUGUCCUGAUGCAGUAAAAGAGAGCAGGAGCGAGAGAGUAGGAUUGUAUCGGAAUGAACAAAGGAUGUUUGCUUGCCUGGUAGAUCAACAGGGUGGCACUGCUCCUCAGACAGGUACUCUGGAACACUCUCCGGAGCAGGACCUGUCGAGAAGGAACGGUGUCGACAAUCGAAACACAAUCAUAUGCAACAAUAUGAUGCAUGAGUAUGGCAUGAAUAUGUGAUGCGUUUUGAGCCAAUGCAUUUAGCAUUCAACUUGGAAGAGAUCCAUUUGAACCAAAGAUUCAAAUGCAUCUCCUAAGUAAGCUCUUAUAUAUGCCAUUUAUAUGUUUUCACCUAUACAGUAGCUAUAAGUUGGUUUUUCAUGCAUGAAACUAGUACAGAUGGAUAGAUUGCAUUUUUCUGAUCAUUUUUCAUAUAUAACUUAUUUCAAUAUGAGUUACGGUUGAAUUUCUAUGAAUUUUAGAAGUUUUACUAAUUUCUGGAAUUUCCUGAUUUAAUUUAAAUCCAGAAAAAGGGUUUAUUGCGUCAGCACUGCGUCAUCAUGACGUCAGCAGUUUAGCGGCGCUGACCAAGUCAAACCUGACGUGUGGGGUCCACACGUCAGUGACUUAGUGUUAACCGGAGGGGUUUUCUAGUUAAUCUAAAUUUUUUAGCGGUGCUGGGGCCCACUGUCAGUGUCAGUGGGGGUAGAUUAGAGGGUGAUUAGCCUUAAGCUAAUCACCUGACAAGUCGGGCCCACAUGGCAGGCCGGAGAGGUCGUCGCCGGCGACCUCUGGACGCGGCGGCGUCCGCGAUAUAGGCCAUGGGGGCGGCAGCUGAGGGCACCGGGGCGUAGCCCGGGCUCGUCCGCAUCCAGGGGAGGCGACGGAAGGACGCAGGGAUGCCGGAGCUCGCCGGAAUCAAGCUCGGGGCGGCGGCCAGAGCACGGGUUCGAGCGGGAUGCGGCUACGAGGCACGGCAGGGGCUGCGCAGGUUCACUACGGCUUCCUGGCAUCACCAGGAGCACGGUGACGCGCUCGGGAGCGACUAGUUUGGCUUCUGGUCACGUUGGCACCAUGGACGGCGGCGAGGCGCUACGGCCGCAGCAAGGAGCGGUGCUGGAGCACGCAAAAGCAAGGGGGAGAAGAGGGGUUCGAGUCAGUGGCUCACGGUGAGCCGGCGAGCAGAUCAGCAGCUCGGGGGAGGCCCUGCAGGCGACGAGCGGCCGGUGGAGAUCCGCGACGGCCGGAGACGAAGAUGGCGAUGGCGACGGCUCCACGGGCGCUCCGGCGUGCGUGGCUCGGCGGAGAGCUUUAGAGCGAGGAGGCGGAGCUCCUGUGCGUGCUUAGAGGCGAGGGGGUGGCGGUGGCAACGGCAGCGCUCGGCCGUGAGAGAGAGAGCGAGGGGGGGAGAGAGAAUGGGCACGGGAGAGAGCGAGAGAGGUGCGGGGCGGCGCGUGGCGUCGUUCGGGCGAUCUAGGCGACGAGGGGAGAAGCAGGAGGUGGCGCGCAUGCGCGCGGGCGGCGAGCGCGUGCCCCUGUCCUCCUGGCGCGAGGAAGGGGACGACUGGCACGGCCAGCUGGCUGGGCCGGCCUGCUGGGCCGCUGGCCAGGCCAGGUAAGUUUCUCCCUUUUCCUAGUUUGUUUCUGUUUUCUAAUUUUCUGACAUUUGUUUGAUUUAGUAGAAAUACUAAACCAUUUAUUUACUUCUGUCAAUUUUUGCAGGGACCUAAGGGAUUAAUCCAAAGCCCCUCACCAAAAUUCAGAAUUUUUGGACAUAUAUAAAAUAUGUAACAUAUAUAUCCAAUGCAAAUAAUUACUGCAUUAAUUCCAAAUGGCCAAGAUAAAUAUUUAUGAGCUCCUAAAAAUAUUGGUUUGAUUUUUAUCUCUGUCCAUUAUUUUCAGGGAGCAACAUGAACAUUUUUCUUGGACCCUUUUGGAGCAAUUUUUAUCUGGGUCAUUUCCAGAAAUGAUUAUGAGGGUUUCACAAAUCCCCAUUUCAAAUUUAAAUGAAAUUUAGACAUGAUGCACACAUGACCAGCUAGUCUAGGUCAUACCAGAACUAGGGACGUGACAAGAGGUCAUCGGCACAGGCGGCUUGCCCUCCUUAGCGAGGGGCUGCCUGCCUGAAUCCGGAACCGUUGGAGGUUCGGGCGCAGUAUCCGGCUGGGGGCCAAACUAGCUGCGGCCCCUGUUAUCAGAGUCCAUGGGGGUCUUCCCCCCCAUGUGCCCGGCGUCUGGGAUUUCGCCUUGCGGCGUCUCCAGAACAAUCUCCCCCUUGUCCGGUAUCCUCUGGGACAGCACCUCGGUGACAUCCGCGGGCCGGGGGGGGGGAGUGGCCGUCGAGAGUGAAUCGCUGUUCAUCGCCGACUGACUCAAGGACCCAUCCGAGGAGGAUCCGUUGAUGUGGGAUUUGGCCAGACUGCACAAUCAUAUUUGGCAUGAUAAGAAGCAAUAAAGCAAUACAUACCGGAAGUAUUACAGUGUCCGGACACUUACGACUUCGCCAGGGGCUUGUCCCUAGGCAACCACUCCUCGUCGCUGUAGGCGGCUGUGGUGGAGUGGUCCGGAGGCAGGGUCUUUCCCCUCUUGGACCCUUCGGCCUCCCCAGACGGGGCGGCCUUCCUUUUCUUCUCCACCCCGGUCGCCGAGGGAGGCAGUUCUGCUACUUCUUCCUCUUCUAUGUUAGAGGAGUGCGCCUCGGUGUCCUCGGACGAUGAGUCCGAUACGACCAUGCGCCGAGGACCUUUCCUGGUCCCCGCGUUCUUCUUCUUCUUCUCGGGCGCCUCAUGUGGUGCCGGAACCAUCAUCUCUGUUAGGAGAGCCGAUGAUGGGUCUUCGGGUAGAGGAGGUGGACAGUCCAUCCGCUCUGCUAAUGCUACCCAGUCCUGAUAAAUGGGCAUGGAAGUUUAGAUUCCUCCCGCGGAUGCGCUGGUAAAAGGCACAUCUUGCGCUGAGUCCGUGGUCUUCGGUCGUGGGUGGUACCUCGAAAGCCAUGAACAACACCUUCCAGACAUCUUCGUGCAUUGUGUCGCAGAGCUCUCGCAGCGUCUGGUGUUCGGCUGGGUCGAACUCCGACAUAUUGAAAGCCCGUCUUUGACAAGGAAAGAUCCGGCGGGAGAGCAUGACCUGGACCAUGUUGAAAAGCUUGAUUCUCUUGUUCAUCAUAUUCUUGAUGCAAGUCUGGAGUCCGGUCAGCUCCACCGAUGAGCCCCAGGCUAGGCCCUUCUCUUUCCAGGAAGUGAGCAGCAUAGGGAUGCCGGAUCGGAAUUCGGGAGCCGCUACCCAGUUGGUGUCGUGGGGCUCGGUGAUGUAGGACCACCCCGAUUGCCACCCCUUCACGGUCUCCACAAAGGAGCCUUCGGGCCAAGUGACAUUGGGCAUCUUGCCCACCAUGGCGCCUCCGCACUCUGCUUGCUGGCCCACCACCACCUUCGGCUUCACGUUGAAGGUCUUCAUCCAUAGGCCAAAGUGGGGCGUAAUGCGGAGGAAGGCCUCGCACACGACGAUAAACGCCGAGAUGUUGAGGUUGAAAUUGGGGGCCAGAUCAUGGAAGUCCAGCCCGUAGUAAAACAUGAGUCCGCGGACAAAUGGGUGGAGGGGGAAUCCCAGUCUGCGGACGAAGUGAGGGAGAAACACUACCCUCUCCUGAGGCUCGGGGUUAGGGAUUAUCUGCCCUUCGGUAGGAAGCCGGUGCGCGAUAUCUGCGGCCAGGUAUCCGGCCUCCCGGAGCUUCGUGAUGUCCGCCUCCUUAACGGUGGAGGCCAUCCACUUGCCUCCCGCUUCGGACAUGCUUGUGUGACUUUGCGGAGAAGGAGAAGGCUUGGGCGCUAGAGCUCGAGCAAGGGAAAAUGAAUGAGCAGAGGAAGAAGAAGAAGGCGUGGGUGGAGAAAAGAUGAAUCCUUAUCUCUUUACAAAGGCGGUAGAAACCAUGUGCCUCCCCACUUGCCCCAUAAAACUAGCUCAUUCCCCCAAGCGUCGUGUUAACGGCGCGGUUGGGUUACCCACGCCCGUAUUGACGAGAAUCCCGUGAUAAGGAGACACGAUCUCUGCUUUGACAAGACGUGCGAAUCAAACCGCCUCCCAAUAUGUGCAGCAGCUGGUUGAGAAAAACAGUUCGGAUAUGUAGAUCUCCUUCUCUGUAACCGACUCUGUGUAACCCUAGCUCCCUCCGGUGUCUAUAUAAACCAGAGGGUUUAGUCCGUAGGAUGAACAACAAACAUAAUCAUAGGCUAGCUUCUAGGGUUUAGCCUCUACGAUCUUGUGGUAGAUCAACUCUUGUAAUACUCAUAUCAUCAAGAUCAAUCAUGCAGGAAGUAGGGUAUUACCUCUGUCGAGAGGGCCCGAACCUGGGUAAACAUUGUGUCCCCCGCUUCCUGUUACCAUUAGCCUUAGGCGCACAGUUCGGGACCCCUUACCCGAGAUCCGCCGGUUUUGACACCAACAGCAAUCUUUACAUUCCAAUCUGUAAAUCAAAAAUACCAAAAAUAUUUACUUUACCGUUUAUCUAUCUUUAUCAGAUCUCACUUUUGUAAAUAACCGUGAAGGGAUUGAGAACCCCUUACCGCAUUGGGUGCAAGUUCCUUGAUUGUUUGUGCAGGUAUUCGGUGACUUGUGCUUUAUCUCCUAAUGGAUUGAUACCUUGGUUCUCAAACUGAGGGAAACACUUACUUUACUUUGCUGCAUCACCAUUUCCUCUUCAAGAGAAAAACCAACGCAAGCUCAAGAGGUAGCAGGAAGAAUUUUGGCGCCGUUGCCGGAGAGAUCUACGUCAAGUCAAGACAUACCAAGUACCCAUCAUAAACUCUCAUCUCUUUCAUUACAUUAUUUCCAUUCACCUCUCGUUUUCCUCUCCCCCACUUCUAAAACGAUUUUUGAAAAGAUUCCCCUUUUCUUCGCCCUUCUUCCAUUCGAUCUUUUGUUCGCUUGUGUUACCAUGUGCCUUCUUUUUGCUUGCAUCUUCGCUUGCUAAAAGUUUAUGGAUCCUCAUCCACUUUCUAAUCUUUUUAAGCGAUCCAAUUAUGAUGAACCAAUUGCUUGUGAGUUUUGUGCAAAGAUUAUAUUUAUGAGGUUUUGCUUGAUAUUCGUGAAUCUGAAAAUUGUGAUGAAGUGCUUUAUGAAGUGAUCCAGAAUAGAUCUUUGAAUAAUAAGCAUGAUUGCAAUGAUUUUACUAUAAAUUCUAUUGAUUUCAAUUAUGCUAAAAAUAUGCAAAACCCUAAUCUUCGGGAUUGAUACGUCUCCGUCGUAUCUAUAAUUUUAGAUUGUUCCUGUUUGUUGCAUGUUUUAUGUUUCGCAGAAACCCAAUAUCAAACAGAGUCCAAACGGGAUAAAAAAGGACGGAGAUCAUUUUUUGAAUAUUUAUGAUUUUUGGGAAGAAAAACCAACGCGAGACCUGGGGCGUGCCCCUGACCCUCGUGGGCACCCCGUAAGGCGGUUGACGCUCUUCUUUUGCCGCAAGAAAGCUAAUUUUCGGAGAAAAAUCUUGGCGACAGUUUCAAUCCAAUCGGAGUUACGGAUCUCUGGAUAUAAAAGAAACGGUGAAAGGGCAGAAUCUGAUAGCACAGAAACAGAGAGAGACAGAGAGACAGAUCCAAUCUAGGAGGGGCUCUCGCCCCUCCCACUCCAUGGGAGCCAAGGACCAGAGGGGAAACCCUUCUCCCAUCUAGGGAGAAGGUCAAGGAAGAAUAAGAAGAAGGGGGGCUCUCUCCCCCUCGCUUCCGGUGGUGCCGGAACGCCGUCGGGGCCAUCAUCAUCACCGCGAUCUACACCAACAACUUCGCCGCCUUCAUCACCAACUCUUCCCCCCUCUAUGCAGCGGUGUAACCCCUCUUUUACCCGCUGUAAUCUCUACUUAAACAUGGUGCUCAAUGCUAUAUAUUAUUUCCCAAUGAUGUAUGGCUAUCCUAUGAUGUUUGAGUAGAUCUGUGUUGUCCUACCGGUGAUUGAUGAAUUGCUAUGAUUGGUUUAAUUUGCUUGUGGUUAUGUUGCUGUCCUAUGGUGCUCUCCGUGUCGCGCAAGCGUGAGGGAUUCCCGCUGUAGGGUGUUGCAAUACGUUCAUGAUUCGCUUAUAGUGGGUUGCUUGAGUGACAGAAGCAUAAACCCGAGUAAGGGGGUUGUGGCUUAUGUGAUAAAGGGGACUUGAUGCUUUAAUGCUAUGGUUGGGUUUUACCUUAAUGAUCUUUAGUAGUUGCGGAUGCUUGCUAGAGUUCCAAUCAUAAGUGCAUAUGAUCCAAGAAGAGAAAGUAUGUUAGCUUAUGCCUCUCCCACAUAAAACUUGCUAUCGGUCUAGUAACGUAAUCAAUUGCUUAGGGACAAUUUCACAACUCCUACCACCACUUUUCCACACUCGCUAUAUUUACUUUAUUGUUUCUUUAUCUAAACAGCCCCUACUUUUUUAUUUACGUGCUCUUUAUAUUCUUGCAAACCUAUCCAACAACACCUACAAAGUACUUCUAGUUUCAUACUUGUUCUAGGUAAAGUGAACACUAAGCGUGCAUAGAGUCGUAUCAGUGGCAGAUAGGACUUGAGAGAAUAUUUAUUCUACCUUUAGCUCCUCGUUGGGUUCGACACUCUUACUUGUCGAAAGAGGCUACAAUUAUCCCCUUCACUUGUGGGUUAUCGGGGAUGCUAGUUUUGCUAUGUCCACUACUUGUUGCAGUGAUCAUGAUUGGGGUGAUUCUUCUUAUGAUCUUGAAAAAUUUAUUUAAGCCCGAUGAUGAAUAUGAGACUGAUAUUAGUGUUUGCAAUAAUCUUGAAAGUGGGUUUGGAAGAGUAUCAACUUUAGAUCCCACAUAUUUGGAGAAUGUUCAAUCUUAUGAAAUUUCUCAUAAAAGUGGGUUUGGAGAGGUCAUGACUUUAGUUAAUGUUGAUCCCACUAUUUUGGAAGAGUGUCAACUUGGCAUGCAUGUGGAUCGUGUUAAGAAUAUGUUAUGUGAUAGCUAUAUUGUUGAAUUUGCUUAUGAUCCUACAUGUAAUUAUUAUGAGAGAGGAAAAUAUGGUUGUAGAAAUUUUCAUUUUACUAAAUUACGUCUCUUCAUGUUCAGAUUGCUAUAGUCUCUUUAUUCUUCCUUGCAUAUGAUAGUUUUUUCUUGAUUUGAUAAUUUGUUUGCUUAUAAAAUGCCUAUGCAUAGGAAGUAUGUUAGACUUAGAUGUGUUUGUCACGUGUUUUAUGAUGCUCUCUUUGUGCCUCAAUUCUUCUAUUUUAUAUGAGCAUCAUUAAAAUUAUCAAUGCCUAGAUAAGGGCGUUAAAUAAUAGCACUUGUUGCGAGGCAAUCCAAUUUUAUUUUUAUUCUUUACUUUUUGUUACUGUUUAGUAACAAAUAAUUCAUCUAGCCUCUGGUUAGAUGUGGUUUUAUGUUUUAAUUAGUGUUUGUGCCAAGUUUAACCUUUAGGAUAACUUACGGUGAUAGUUGUGUUGAUCCUGCUGAAAAUCAGAAACUUUUGCGCCCAGGAAAAUAAUUUUCAUAAUUCACAGAAACGUUCUUUUGAUCUGAUUCUGUUUGCUCUAGUACACAAAUUUGUGUUGUGAAGUUUUCAAGUUUUGGGUAAGGAUUUGAUGGACUAUGGAAUAAGGAGUGGCAAGAGCCUAAGCUUGGGGAUGCCCAAGGCACCCCAAGGUAAUAUUCAAGGACAACCAAAAGCCUAAGCUUGGGGAUGCCCAGGAAGGCAUCCCCUCUUUCGUCUUCGUCUAUCGGUAACUUUACUUGAGGCUAUAUUUUUAUUGACAACACGAUAUGUGUUUUGCUUGGAGCGUCUUUUAUGAUUUUAGUCUUUGCUUUUAAGUUUAACACAAUCAUCCUUGCUGUACACACCAUUUGAGAGGGACACACAUGAAUCGUGAUUUAUUAGAAUACUCUAUGUGCUUCACUUAUAUAUUUUGAGCGUGGCGAUGGCUUCAUUUUAUAGAAAUUGUUGAACUCUCAUGCUUCACUUAUAUUAUUUUGGGAGUCUUUUGGAACAGCAUGGUAAUUUUCUUUGGUUAUAAAUUUAAUCCUAAUAUGAUAGGAAUCCAAGAUGAAUACUAUGAGAAGUUUGAUUCUUUAUGAUUGUUUUGAGAUAUGAAGAUGGUGAUAUUAGAGUCAUGCUAAUGAGCAGUUGUGAAUUUGAGAGAUACUUGUGUUAAAGUUUGUGAUUCCCGUAGCAUGCACGUAUGGUGAACCGUUAUGUGAUGAAGUCGGAGCAUGAUUUAUUUUUUGAUUGUCUUCCUUAUGAGUGUCGGUCGGGGACGAGAUAUGGUCUUUUCUGUAGGAGAUAUGCCCUAGAGGCAAUAAUAAAUGUUAUUGAUUAUCUCCGUGUUCAUAAUUAUGUUUAUGUUCCAUGCUAUAAUUGCUAUGGUUCUCGGGUCUACAAUAACCACGAGGCUCGGAGGAAGACUCAUAUGCACGUGUGGAAUAAUAAACGGUGAAAUGUAUUCCUAGUCUAGCCUCUAAGACUAGCUCAAGUGUUGCAUGAUGGUUCUGUUUUCCUGAUAAUGGGCAUGUCUAUGCCAGCAACUUGGAGGGCACAAUGUUAAGAGAACAUUUGUGUUCAAUCGACCCGGAUUGAUGUUAUGGUAUAAGAUUCAUUCAUCACAAGUUAAUGGCAAAUAACACAGAGAUGGUUGCCAUUUGCAUGAUUCCUUAGACCAUAAGAGUAUCGAGUUUCUUCAUGCUUGCUUCAUGAACUUUGGGGUUUGUUAAACGUCAUCCGUAAAUGGGUGGCUAUUACGGUGGCUUACUGGUUCAUGGAAAAGUAUGCCAACUAAAUUGAUAGCUCAAGAUUGGGAUUUGUUUCUCUGAUGAUGGAGAGAUAUCUCUGGGCCCUCUCGGUGUUACGGUAUCCAUCAUCGUCUGGCCAUACAAUUUGUGAUUUGAUCACGGGGAUGCCUGAACACGGUAACGAGAAAAGAGAACAAUACUGGUAACGAGGUAAUUGGCAUAGUGGACAAGUUGUUGAUCCACGUAAAUUCCAACAUGUCUCACCUCGGGUAUUUGUAACAUAUCGCGAAGCAACAGUAAUAGUACACGGCAACUGGAGGUUCACUCGAAUAUUCAUUCGUGUGGGUAUAGGGUCAAUAUGGGUGUCCACGGCUCCGAUGUUGAUCAUUGAUCGGAAGGGGUUCCGGGUCAUGUCUAUACUUCACCGAACCUAUAGGGUCACACGCUUAAGGGUUAUCUAUCUACUGAAUACUAGACAGGGAGUCUGAGAGAAAAUCACCGAAAAAGUUUCGGACAGCGGAAAAGUUCUGGAGAGAGAGGUCAUCGGAUGAGUUUUGGUGAAACCGAAAAGUUAUUUCAGGAUAUACUAUUAAGUCAAAUUGGUUUUGGCACAUGCCUGAUAAUUCUUGGAGUGUGCCAGAAUCAUUCUGUAAACUUUCUGGAAUUUUCCGGGAUAAUAACCGGAAAUGCUCCGGAGCUGCCGGAACCACUUCAGAUGCUUUUCGCAGAUGAAAAUCACUAAUCCGAAAUUGUUUCGGAACACGUUGAAAAUCAUUUUGGUGGGUAUUGGAAAUGUUCUAAGCCCACAUAAAUAUUUUCAGUUCGAAUGGACGCUGAAAAAUGUCGUCGUGAAUAGUGAAAGUGCUUUUUGGGAUAUUAAUGGAAACCACCUUUUGGGAUAUUUUCCAAAAGGCUUCUAGAAGGCUUGGGGGCUAAGAAACCCCCCUUGGGGGCCCCCCAAGAGGGUUGGACGACCACAUGAGGGGCUCCUCCAUGGUGCCCCACUUGCUCCAUUACUUCCCCUUUAUUGCCUUGUGGAGGAGUCCAUUCAUGGGCAUUUUUUGGUUUUUUGGAAUGGCCACUAUACCCCUUGGUUUCCCUAUAAAUAGGAGGUGAGGGUGCUGCCCAGACCUCAUCCCUUGCUCUCAUACAAGUGCCAUGCAAUGAUCUGGCUUCUUUCUCCCUUCCCGCGAAAUAGUUUCGUAGAGCCGAAAGGUUGUCUGGGUUCCAGUGGGAACUAGUUCAGGACGGCGAAGCCCUGCUGGACAGAUGACACCGUAUGUGUGCAACUCUGUAGAGAGAUCAUAGUUUCGGUCUUAGUUCGAGAGUGCCUCCCAAAGGGCUGUCCAAGUGACCGUCCGAGAUUCUGAGGUCCUACCGAAGGACUGUCCGAGGAUCCGUCCGGUGGGACUAUCCGAGGGCUGUCCCGAGGCCUCCCGAGGGGCUGCCCGGAGAUCCGUACGGGGAGCAGAUGAGGGAGUACAUCCUCGCGGUUGGGAGGUUGUAAGUCCGAGCUGCGGGGAUCUGCACCACCGAUCGUCAUCGACUCGACUUCCCCUGCGCUACGAGUCGGUAACGAAAAGAUCAAACCUUGUAUGCAGUCUCCAUAGUGGUCCUGGGCUGGUACGUAGGUCGGAGAAUUUUUGUUUUCUGCUGCGUUGCCCGUCAGUGGCAUCAUGAGCCGUGCUAUGCGUAGAUGUAGGUUGCGAUCUAGAAUACAUAGAGAUGUAUGGGUGUUGCACAAUAUACUUAGGUAAUAGAUGAGUUCUAUUACUAAAACUUAUUUGUGCGGGUAGCAGAUGAAAUCUGUUACCCGAUGUUCUUGUUGCUUCCUUUGAAUUUGCAUAAUCCUGAUCUUGACGGCAUGGUGGAUUCUCACAAAGUUCUAGCAGUCCGCGAUCCUUUCAUGCUGCUCCUGAGUAUGUUGAUUGACAGAUCAACAAAAUGCUAACAGUUCUUUGGGUUCCACCAUAGUUAAAGAAAGAUGGAUGUUUCACAGACGAAAGGGCAAUGCAGAUAUGAUCUGCACGGGGGUCAUGCGUAUGACGAAGUUUAGUAUGGGGUUCAAGAUUUUAUUAUCUCAUGCUUCAUACACCCCGCAAAGUUAAUCUAGCGACCUGAAUUAUCAUACUUGAUGAUGGACGUAGGUAGCUUCGGUUUGUUUCAAAACCUUAGAAGCCACGUAAAACCUUUUUUGUAUGAACUGAUUAGAGGCGUCUUACUUGGUUUCGUAGGAUGGUUUGCAUCUGAUGUGGUAUAGCAGUGCUCAUAAUAAUUUGAUUAUGUAUGUGAUGACUAUAUAAUGUAAAUUAACAUGACCUCCGUGUCAUGAUUCGGCAUGAUGGCUGGAGCCAUAUGAUUGUCACUUUAAUGACCUGCGUGUCAACCUUCAGUAAUGCACUUAUUUUAUUAGCUAUAGAGAUAGCAAUAUUAUCUGGUGCGUCAACAAGGUGGUGGCAAUCUUCGCAAAGUUGAACACCGACGCAAAUGCCGAAGACGAAGAAAUGAAGUACUUCUCCGUCAUAAAGGGCUAUACCAUAUCAUGCUAUUACGAAUUGUCUGAGAUGUUUACCCCUUAUGAUGCACCCUUCUUGAUUGCGAGGUGGUCGCUUUUUAUUAGGGUGAUCUCUCACUUAAAAUAUCAAAGUAGUUAGUGUUCACCCAAGUGUAGCACUGUCAGAAAUUCGUAUCUUUUCGGCGUGCGCCAUGUACACAUGAGCACGAACGAAUCGAGAGGAAUGAGGCGGGUGAGGUCAGACCUCGCAGCAAGAUCACUUGGUUGUCUUUGACGUUCAGGCAGGAGAGUCCUGAGCUCGGAACACGCCCAUCGAAAGAUGAACAAGAAUCACAUAGAGAUGUGAUCGGCAAGUUGGCAUACCAAUUGAAAAUCGUGUCAGCAGUGAUGAACCCGUCAAUUGCAUCGAAUAGAAAUAUGGAUCUUGAAUCACUCUAAAUCAAUUAUGAGAGAUAUCGAUUUGCGUGGGAGCGCACUGUUGAAUUAACAUUUUUAAUUCUUAGUGCAAUUAAUAAUGAACAUUGUCUAGGUGUUUCUUGCAAAAUAGUUGUAGAAUAAUGGCUCGCGUUUCCACCUUCCCUGUUAAAAUUGAAUAGCUAUUAAAUAUCUGGUUAAAACUUUACGAUUGGUAACGUAAUGUGAGGAUUGUCCUCAAAAGUACCCAGAAGGACUUUGUCCUAUCGCAUGCUUUCCGUAUACUCCCGCUAAAUACUAUGGAUGAUGAGACUCUCAUCCUUCGAUUCAAAAGCUAGAAUUCCGUUGCGGCCAAGUCCAUUAUGUUUGCUUCCAUGAAACCCUAACUUCGAAUGUUUUGGGAUAGUUAUGUGAUAUUCAUGGAAAUGAAAAUUAAUUUUCAGAUACAAACAAAGGCUGAAAGAUAUGAAAUAUCCAAAUCAAUGUUUGUUUGUAAAUUAUUAGUAAAGUGUUUACUAUGCAUUAGACUGAUAAGAGAGGGAUCUAGAAGAACGCCUGUCAUAUGAUGAAAGGUGGAUAAAACAACAACUUAAAGAGAAAGGAAGUGUCCAAGGGUGUUAGUAUGACUUACACGCCUAGGAAGUCUGGAGCUAAUGCCACUCUUAAGUUGGGUGCUUCUUUUGCGAGUAGGAGAAAUACUAAAAGUUAAACUGUUAGAAGUAUAAAGGCAAAAGUAGUGAAGACUGGUGAUAUGUCUCCAACGUAUCUGUAAUUUCUGAAGCAUUCAUGCUAUAUUAUUUUCUGUUUUGGAUGUUUAUGGGCUUUAUUAUACACUUUUAUAUUAUUUUUGGGACUAACCUAUUAACCGGAGGGCCAGCCUAAAUUGUUGUUUUCUUGCCUAUUUCAGUGUUUCGAAGAAAAGGAAUAUCAAACGGAGUCCAAACGGAAUGAAACCUUCGGGAAAGUUAUUUUUGGAACGGAAACAAUCCAGGGGACUUGGAGUGCACGUAAGGGAAGCUUCGAGGUGGCCACGAGGCAGGGAGGCGCGCCCUCCCCCUCGCGCGCCCCCACCCUUGUGGGCCCCUUGUGGCUCCCCUGACCGACUUAUUUCGCCUAUAUAAGUCCAUAUACCCUAAAAACAUCGAGGAACAGAAUAGAUCGGGAGUUCCGCCACCGCAAGCCUCUAUAGCCACGAAAAACCAAUCGGGACCCUGUUCCAAUACCCUGCCGGAGGGGGCAUCCCUCACCGGUGGCCAUCUUCAUCAUCCAGGCGCUCUCCAUGACGAGGAGGAAGUAGUUCACCCUGGGGGCUGAGGGUAUGUACCAGUAGCUAUGUGUUUGAUCUCUCUCUCUCUCUCUCUCUCGUGUUCUUGAUUCGGCACGAUCUUGAUGUAUCGCGAGGUUUUCUAUUAUAGUUGGAUCUUAUGAUGUUUCUCCCCCUCUACUCUCUUGUAAUGGACUGAGUUUUCCCUUUGAAGUUAUCUUAUCGGAUUGAGUCUUUAAGGAUUUGAGUAUACUUGAUGUAUGUCUUGCCGUGCUUAUCUGUGGUGACAAUGGGAUAUUUACGUGAUCUACUUGAUGUAUGUUUUGGUGAUCAACUUGCGGGUUCAAUGAAUCUAUGGAUAGGGGUUGGCACACGUUUUCGUCUUGACUCUCCUGUAGAAACUUUGGGGCACUCUUUGAAGUACUUUGUGUUGGUUGAAUAGAUGAAUCUGAGACUGUGUGAUGCAUAUCGUAUAAUCAUGCCCACGGAUACUUGAGGUGACAAUGGAGUAUCUAGGUGACAUUAGGGUUUUGGUUGAUUUGUGUCGUAAGGUGUUAUUCUAGUACGAACUCUAUGAUAGAUUGAACGGAAAGAAUAGCUUCAUCUUAUUUUACUACGGACUCUUGAAUAGAUAGAACAGAAAGGAUAACUUCGAGGUGGUUUCGUACCCUACAAUAAUCUGUUCGUUCGUUCUCCGCUAUUAGUGACUUUGGAGUGACUCUUUGUUGCAUGUUGAGGGAUAGUUAUAUGAUCCAAUUAUGUUAUUAUUGUUGAGAGAACUUGCACUAGUGAAAGUAUGAACCCUAGGCCUUGUUUCGACGCAUUGCAAUAACAUUUGUGCUCAGUUUUAUCAUUAGUUACAAAAACCUAUAUAGACAAUAUGCACACUAAUGGCGCACCAUACAUGCGGUGCGCCACUACUAUAUAGCAAUGGCGCACCUCAUUUGCACCAUAGAUUCAUCCAAAUUAAGUGGUUAAAUUACCUUUUUUGAUAGGUAAGUAAGGGGAAAGCUUUCUUUAUGUUGUAGAUCUACUUUUUUCUCCCUCCAACAACGUGCACAUGCACUUUUUAUGGCCUAGCUAGAUCUAUGUAUGUUUGUGGUGUUGCAUAUAUGUUUGUGUUUGCAGGUACCGGUAUUUGAAAUGCGAUAGUUGCCAAUAUUUUGCCGGAAUGUUGAUUCAUUUCUGUUUCGGCGAGAAUUUUGGCACUAUGCAUUCUUUUUGGUCCUAUUUUUAGGCAAAGUCAUGCCAAAUUUUUUCUUGGUUCUAAAAUAUCGUUUUGCUCUACCCCGCAGGCGACCAUGGUCCGCACGAUGACCGAAGGCAUCGUGAAUAGGUUUUUGAGCUCCGCGAAGGCCGAGAUGCUUCAAAAUAACGAUACGGAGAUAAGAUGCCCGUGUCGAAGAUGCAAGCUGAGGAGCCUUAUGGACCCGGAUUCCGUACAGGUGCGAGACCACCUGCUCUUGCGUGGUUUCAUGGAUGGCUAUCGGUGGCAAGGUGAUGAAGAUGAUUAUGAAGUCGUCCAUGGGGGCCGGCCGGCAAGAAAUGAGGAAGGGCAGCAAGACAACCGCGGCGAGGGCGGGCGAGAAGACGAAGAAUCUCCAGGACAUGAUCACGAAGUAGAUGCAGUACACAGUGAUCAUGUAGAAGAUGCCGGACAUGAUGAUGAGGAAGAUGCCGGAGCAGACGAAGGGCAUGAUCAUGAAGAUGAAGAUGCCGGAGCAGACGACGAUGGACCAUCGAUGGGCUGGGUGCAGGACCCUCAUAUUCAAGAGCUGCUUCACAAGCAGACGGAUAACGCAAGAGCUUCCGCCCGAGAGAAAGCCAAGCUGGAUCAACUGGAGAUAGACGCGGUUACUCCAUUGUAUGAACGAUGCAGGCCCGAGGAUACCCACCUGAAAGUAACGCUCAUGGCUCUGGAGAUGAAGGUAAAACACAAAAUGACCGACGCAUGCUUCGACGAGAACAUGUCAUUCUGGCACGAACGACUUCCCAAGGGAUCAAGUGCCCGACCAGUUUCGAGGAGGCGAAGAAAAUCGUGUGUCCUAUGGAUUUACCGCAUGUGAAAUACCAUGUGUGCAUGAACAAUUGCCUCAUUUAUCGGGACGAGCACGCGGAGUCUACCAUAUGUCCGGUGUGCGGCGUCACUCGAUACAAGAAGAGGAAGAAAGCUCCUCGAAAAGUGGUGUGGUACUUUCCGAUCACUCCUCGUCUGCAGCGGUAUUUCGCGGACCCUAAGGUAGCAAAGCUCUUGCGUUGGCACGCGGGUAGGGAGGAGAAGAAGCGAGAAGAUGACGCAAAUGAUCCGGAGAUAAAUAAAAAAGACAAGAUGCUGAGUCACCCUAAGGAUGGGAGCCAGUGGCAAGCGUUGAACUUCGAACACCCAGAAUUUGGGAAUGAUCCAAGGAACAUCGUGCUGGGCGCGAGCACCGAUGGAGUCAAUCCGUUUGGCAGCCAGAGAAGCACACAUAGCACCUGGCCUGUGUUUGUGUGGAUGUACAACCUUCCCCCCUGGUUGUGCAUGAAGAGGAAGUACAUUCACAUGAGUAUGCUAAUUGAAGGGACGAAACAACCAGGGAACGACAUCAAUCUGUAUCUGGGGCUGCUGAAAGAGGAGCUAGACACGCUGUGGAAAACGCCAGCCAAUACGUGGGACGCCGCAGAGAAAGAAUAUUUCCCUAUGAGAGCCGCACUGCUCAUGACGGUGCACGACUAUCUCGGUUACGGAUAUCUCGCGGGGCAGGUGGUCCACGGAUUUUCUGGAUGCGUUAGGUGCAUGGAUGACACAACGUAUCGCAAGCUAGAUAGAGAUCCCGGGUCUUCGAAAACCGCUUCGCGAUGAUGACCCAUGGAGAAAACGCAAGGAUCUGUUCGAUGGUGAAACCGAACCCCGAAGACGCCCGCGUACGAGGAGCGGUGAGGAAAUAGAAGAGCUGUUGAAAAAUUGAAAAGAUUGCCCACUGCCGGGAAAGAAGCAAAAGGCGCUAGAGCCGGGAAAUAAGCGAAAGGCGCAAGAGCCGCUGCUGAAGGUAUGGAAAAUGAAGUCUGUUUUCUGGGACUUGCCGUACUGGAAGAUCCACCGUGUGCCUCACAGCCUUGAUGUCAUGCAUAUCACGAAGAACGUGUGCGAGAGUUUGCUUGGUACCCUGCUCAACAUGCCGGAGAGGACCAAAGAUGGGCCGAAAGCAAGGGCAAACUUGAAAUCAAUGGGCAUCAGGGAGGAGCUUCACGCUAAUGAUGAUGAUGAGGCGAAGUAGGACACGGAAAGUCGUCGCAAAGGCAAAAAGGCCAACAAGACCGGAAAUGACUUCCCUCCCGCCUGCUUCACUCUAAGUCAGGAGGAGAUCGGUCAGUUUUUCACCUGCCUUGUAGGAGUAAAACUUCCUUAUGGUUACGCGGGGAAGAUAAGCAGAUACCUAGACUCAGCGAAGCAGAAGUUUAGCGGGAUGAAGUCUCACGACUGUCACGUGCUGAUGACGCAGAUACUUCCAGUUGCAAUCCGUGGGAUCAUGGACGCGCACGUUCGUGAAAUGCUAUUUGGCCUAUGCAACUUUUUCGACGUCAUCUCUCGGAAGUCGGUUGGCGUGAGGCAACUCAGAAGGCUACAGGAAGAGAUCGUGGUGAUACUAUGCGAGCUUGAGAUGUACUUCCCGCCCGCAUUCUUCGACGUUAUCGUGCAUCUGCUGGUCCAUAUCGUGGAGGAUAUCAUCCAACUCGGGCUGACGUUCCUGCACAGCAUGAUGCCGUUCGAAAGGAUGAAUGGUGUCAUCAAAGGAUACGUUCGCAACAUGUCACGUCCAGAGGGAAGCAUAGCCAGGGGCUUUCUGACCGAAGAGUGCAUCUCCUACUGCACGAAUUAUCUAGGCAUCGAGAACCCCGUUGGUCUGCCCGUCAACAGGCACCUCGGCAGGCUCGCUGGAUGGGGUCACCGUGAGGGUCGCCGUGAAAUGCAUGUCGACUUCGAGGGUCGACUCGCCGACUUUGAAAGAGCAAACCUAGUCGCGCUAGAACACAUAAACGUGGUCGAUCCUUGGGUGGUAGAGCACAAAACCUUUAUUGAGAAGACGUACAAUGACCGAGGCAAUAGAGGAUGGACGGAGAUAUAAUCAAAGAGCACAACUCAUGUUUCAGGCAUUGGUUCAAGCAGAAGCUUCUAUCGUACCCUUUACAUGAGGAUUCUUCCGCGGAAGAACAACUCAUAUUCACCUUGUCACAGGGCGCCGAGCACAACCUGAUGACGUAUGAGGCGUAUGAUAUCAACGGCUAGACAUUCUACACCAAGGGAAAGGACAUGAAGAGCAAUGGUUAUCAGAACUCCGGGGUAACGAUGGAAUCCUACACCGGUAACGACAAGGACAGAUACUACGGAAGGAUCGAGGAGAUCUGGGAGCUGAGCUACGCUGGAGAGAAGGUCCCGAUGUUCCGUGUCAGAUGGGCCAAGAGCGUCCUAAAAGAAGAUCGGUAUUUCACCACCAUGGUUAUACCCGAAGCCAAAUCCAAGACCGCGGGCGCAAACGUCACCGCGAAAAAUGAGCCAUGGGUACUCGUUUCCCAAAUGGACCAAUGCUUCUUCAUUACCGACCCGUCAAAGCCCAGUCGUGUUGUCGUGAGGAGAGGCAAAAGGAAGAUCAUCGGAAUGGAUGGAGUCGCCAAUUAGCAAGACUUUGAUAAGUACGGCGACCCGAAGAUGGAACAUGACGACGACGAUGAAGUACCAGCAUACACCACAAGAAGAAGCAGGACCACCCUACAUAAAGGACGUCCCUUCAAGAGAAGAACUCCAUUUACGAAAAAUAAGGGCAAGAAGAUUAUGAACAGAUAGCUAGCUAAGAUCGAUUGUAUUUAAAUUGUAGCCUUCAUUUCUCGAUUGUAUUUCAUGGGAACUUUUUGAACUCAUGAAUAUUUUUAAAUUUCAUGGGCACUUUUUGAAUUCAUGAAUAUUUUUUCAAAUUUCACCGCUGCCGACGACCCCCCGCACCCUCCCCCGCUCCACCCCCACCGACGACCAACCGGACCCUCUCCCGCUACGCCGCCGCCGACGACCCCCNNNNNNNNNNNNNNNNNNNNNNNNNNNNNNNNNNNNNNNNNNNNNNNNNNNNNNNNNNNNNNNNNNNNNNNNNNNNNNNNNNNNNNNNNNNNNNNNNNNNNNNNNNNNNNNNNNNNNNNNNNNNNNNNNNNNNNNNNNNNNNNNNNNNNNNNNNNNNNNNNNNNNNNNNNNNNNNNNNNNNNNNNNNNNNNNNNNNNNNNNNNNNNNNNNNNNNNNNNNNNNNNNNNNNNNNNNNNNNNNNNNNNNNNNNNNNNNNNNNNNNNNNNNNNNNNNNAAAAACUUAUUACUGUUUUUAUAAAAAAAAUUAUUACUGUUUCAUAUUCAUAUUCAUUUUCUAAAAAAUUAUUAGAUGCAACAAAAAAGAAUAAUAAUAAAAUUUACUUAUGGCGCACCGCUGGGUGGUGCUCCAUUGCUAUCUAAAAAAAGAUUACUAAUGGCGCACCGCUGGGUGGUGCGCCAUUGCUAUCUAAAAAAAGAUUACUAAUGGCGCACCGCUAGGGGGUGCGCCAUUGCUAUAAAAAACAUUAUAAUGGCGCACCGCUAGGGGGUGCGCCAUUACUAACCUUCCCCCUAGCUAAUUCGCCCGAUCCCUUCGACCCUCCCACGCCAGAUCCACUUCCCCCCUCGCCACACCCUCACGCCCCCUUCCGCCGCCCGGUCGUCGUCCCCCGACGCCAUAGCCGCGCCACCGUGCUCCCCUCGCUCUGCCGCUGAUCCCAGAAGCACCGCCGCGUCUCCCUCGUCCUCCCCGAUGGCUCAAGCGACCGGAAGAGCCCCGAAGCAUCGUCCCCGACCCCUUCUUCCCCUUUCGGCCGCGGAGAUCGCCGGUGACCCCACGCCAUUCCCAGCCCUCCCCAGUAAGCCCCCUGCCUCCCCUCCCCCGCNNNNNNNNNNNNNNNNNNNNNNNNNNNNNNNNNNNNNNNNNNNNNNNNNNNNNNNNNNNNNNNNNNNNNNNNNNNNNNNNNNNNNNNNNNNNNNNNNNNNNNNNNNNNNNNNNNNNNNNNNNNNNNNNNNNNNNNNNNNNNNNNNNNNNNNNNNNNNNNNNNNCUGCCGCGCGCCCUUGGUCUGACUUCUUGGGCUUACCUCGAGCAGGGCCGCGCGCUAGGGUUCCAGCGCCGCCGCCGACCUCGCCGCCGCCGUUCCAGACCUCGCCGCCGCGCCCCUCUGCACCGGCUGCCCACGGCGCCUCCGUCCCGAAGCCGCAGCCCAAGUGCCCACCACUCAUCCAGUCCUCCACUCCUCCACGAUGAGCCAUCCUCUCUGUCCCAACUCUCUGUUCUUCUUUUUUAGCUACAUAAAUUGGAUAGAUGCAAAUACUUUGUUGCAUAUAUGGAUGAAUCGAUGUGUCAGUUGGAUAGAUGGAUGAAUGUAUUGCUUUUUUAAUUUGUUAGAUGGAUGAAUGAUGCCAGUUACUUAGGCGCAAGUAACUUAGACGCAAGUUACUUGAUGCAAGUAUCUCAUAGGACGUUGAUGCAAGUUACUUAGACGCAAAAUGCCGCAUGCCCCUUUUGUUCUGCUUAAUGCAGACUAUGCUCUUCACUUUGGCAUGUAUGACUGGUUUCACUAGUCAAUUUUCGUUUAGCUGAAGUCAAGUGCACUUGAAGUGUGCAGAGGAUGCUCAACAAUUAUCAGUCAUGAAGCUGAAUAUCUGAUAAUACUAGCUGCAAUCUGUCAUUAGAGAGGACACAGUAAUCUACCAAUGUGCCACAUGCUACUAAUGUCCUUGCAAAUUUGCCAGUUUAUAAACUUGUCUACUGCUGUUCCAAUCUAGCGAAGUUGAUGCUUCCAGAUUUUUUUUCUUUCGGUUGGGUGGCUUAACUAAAACUAGUGUAGGCCAUCAUACUCAGAUACUGUUCUUCUUGCUGAAUAUUUUGUGAUCGUUUAUGUUUUAGCCUAAUCUCUAUCAGCCUGGUUACCUGAUAAUGUUCCUGACAUGGAUCUACUGCUUGUCUGUUUGCAUGUGACACUAGCACCUUCCUGGAAAAGCCUGUUAAACAAAUGAUACUAGCACAUUCUCGGUUAAAUGCAGGUGCUAAAGACUUUUAGAUGAAUAUUUUUUCAAGAUUAGACUUUGCACUUGCAAACCCCUAACAUCUUUACAAGCCUUGUAGUCCAACAAUAGAUUUACCAACUUAGAACAGUCAGUUGGUUUUGCUGAUGCUGCUGAUAGUAUGUCCUCCACUCAUACACCAUGUAUUCACCUACUAUAAAACCUGUAACAAAAUGUUUUCUCAAUGACAGAUUUCCAUCUUGAGCAGUCAACUUAUCUGAUAUAGGUAUGAAAUCUUAAAUUCUGUUGAUCCUUAUGAGGGAUAGUACUGAAUAACACUCUGAAAGAUAAUCUUCGAGCAGUUCACUAUCUGGCAUAGGUAUCUUACAUACUGUUCUGUCACAUGAUGGAUAGCACUGAAGAAUAUCUUGAAAUGUAAGAUUCGAGUAGUUCACUUACCAUGACUAUCAAUUAAUAAGCAUGAUACUGUACCCUUCUUUUAAAAAAGAAUUCCCUGUGGUUGAGAUCCUAUAAAACGGUGCCCCUCAUGAAGCAUCCACCUUACUUAGCCAUUACUUGUGUGCAUCUCUAGUUUCCUUGCAGGUUGUAAGUUUUGAUUAGGAUAGCUGUAAAUUUCUUCUGUUUUCUAGUAGUACUACCUGUACUGGUUGGGACAAAAACACUGCUUUUGGUGUACUUGUACUGUUCUUUCUAGCUGUAAAUUUCUUCUUUCUUCACUUUACUGAUGAGUACACAAAGCAAGUGUGAGUGAACUGAAUGAAUUCAGUGUGCAUUGUAUUAUAAGUACCAUCUAGUCAAGUCAAGCUUUGGUCAUGGUCAGCAGAUGAGAUUUUCUCUUCUGAGGAAAAUCAGAUGAGAAUUGAGAAGCAUAUGCCACACAAUGAUUCAGCAAUAUCUUUAAGGCAAAUCUGGCUGGCAAUUUGGCCCUCUGUGUCCAUCACCAUGGCCACUACUAUUUCAAACUGAAGAAAGAAAGGAAGAGAUGAUUUUGCAGGUACCCCGAGAGGCCCUUGAGUUUGCCGGAAUGUCGAUUAACUUCCGUUCCGGCAAAUUUGGGUACUCCAUAUGUCCUAUUUUCAGCAAAGGUCAUGCUGAAAUUUUCUGUGAAUUUUAGCAUGACUUUGCUAAAAAUAGGACAUAUGGGGUACUUGCGACUAAUGCAUGGGCCGGGGUAUCUUAGUACUUAAUUAAGUAGGAUCAACUUCCCCUUUAUUCUUGCUGCAUUAAACCAUAGGUGGCAAUAGAGCCAAGUGAUUAGGCCCAACUUAGAGUCGACAAACCCUAAAUUAUAAAACCUUGGCUUUUAGGGUGCCUCGGUGUCGAUAAAAACCUAAAUGAUGAAAGCUUAGGCUUUUAGGGUGCCUCGGCGUCGACAAACCCUAAAUGAUAAAAGCUUAGCUUUUAGGAUGCCUCGGUGUCGACAAACCCUAAAUGAUGAGACCAUGAUCUUGUUCCUUGACAAUAACCAACUUUUUGACCAAACUUUUUUCCUAUUUAGAGCGAAACAUGGCCCACAACAAUGAGGCCGGCGGUUCGGGUGGCAAGGCAUUUUGGGAGCUGUCCCAGGAGAUGGAGGAAGAACCUCACCGCUAUGAGGACGCCGCGGAAGACACCGAUCCUGACUACACAACCCCUAGUGGCGUCGGGGAUGACACCACUGAUGGUGUCGCUGAGGAUGCCACCACUGAUGAUGGCAGCGCACGCACAGAUGGCAGCCAACCGAAGAGGCAACGGAAGGACCGACGCCCGAACGUGCUCGGCACCGUCAAGGAGGAAUUUACUGAAGUGAACUGCGACGGGGAUCCAACGGCGCCCAAAGAAUUAGUCAAGGGGUACUCGGUUCAGCUCGGGUGCAUUCUCCGGAGCACCGUCUCGAUCAACACCGAGAACCUAAGGCAUAAGGACCGAGGGAAUUUGCGCAACCUCAUCUUCACGAAGCUGCACGAACGAUACAAGUUCCCCGCUGAGUUUGCAAACACACGCCUCUCAGGGAAUAAAGUGAACAAUGCCGCCCUCACGAAGAUGAGCACGGCCCUGUCUACUUGGAGAAGCGCGGUGAAGAGAAUGAUUAACAAAGGGGAUAGUUAUGAGAAGAUCAAGGCGAAAAAUCCUUCGAUGAGCAAAGAUGACUACAAGGAGUUCAAGAUCAAGUGCGAGAGCGGUGCAUCCGAGGAAUCAAGUCAGUGGGGGAAAAAGAGAUGCGGGACUUGAACUUAGGGGUCCACAAACUCGGUCCCGGCGGUUAUAGAGUGGCGGAACCUAUAUGGGACAAGGAGGAUGCGGAGCGUGCCGAGCAAGGCCUACCGCCCCGCUUCGAGAAAUACCGUGAGAAGCAGACCAGGAACUAUGUCAGGGCCCGGUACAAGGUGGACCCGGUAACAAAGGAGCUUACCACGGAUCCGAAGACCAAGGCGCUUGAGAAAGUUCCGGUAAGGAAUACACCCCCACGUAAUUAGCUAUAUAUAUGGUUGCAUUCUAGUUAAUGAAGCCAAAUUUCUAAAUGGUUCACAUUCCUUCCGCAGGAGACUGAAAGCAGUAGCGCGGGGUCGUCUCAGAGCUCCCCAACUUGGGACAGCACUCUAAAUAGGGCGUUGAACAUAAUGAAAAACAAGGAUAAGCUCAGUAAGCCGUCGUCAGCUGGUCGUGUGGCCGGCAAAGGCUUGUCCACAAAAUGGUCGUCAUACUAUCACGCUGGUGGGCAAAAGGAGAAAAAGACCAGCUCGGAAAGCCAGUUGCGCGAGGUUCAAGAACUCAAGGCACAAGUGGCGCGGAUUUCAGAGAUUGUCCAAGAGCAAGUGCAACAACAACUGGGAACGACGCUCACCGCCAUUGUGCCUAGCUUGAUUGAGGGUCUGCAGGCGUGGAUUGCGGGCGGCCAACAGGGGCCGCCCCCGGUUCCCAGCUUCACGGCAGCAACUCGCACAACGCGCAGGCGGCGCCAUUGGUGUCUCCGGCGCCGCCACAGGCAUUGGAGCUUAAUGCACCCGGGUGUACGCCGGCCGGCACCUCGGCAGCAAGUGGCCCCUCCAUCAGUUGCACGCCCGCCGUUGGCGGUGCCUCGACAUUAGCCGAGCUCGACGCCAUCACUGUAACUAAGCCUCUCGGCCGAUGACUUCAUCUCCUUGCCUUUGACUGGGCAUCCCUGACGCCCUACAUGUUUUCGCAGGGCGCCGCCGACGUUCCAUGCACUCUCCUGCACUUCGUGGGCGGCGAGUUGAUCGAUGUCGCCAAGGGCAGAAUCGUUCAACCGGGCAACCUCGUGUUCCACGGUAAUCCGAUGCCACCCACCGUGUAUAGGGUUGAACUGGUUCGGGUGCUGGCAGGCUGCGACGAGUUGUUACCUCCGAUUCGACCCGCUGGGGCCGACGAAGAUGAUGUGAUGACCCUCAGUGCCUGCGUAAGCUGGCCCCUGCUUUGGCCGAAGAGCCAGAUUAGUUUGGGGGCGGGGGACACCACCCCACAGACAACACCGCCAGUCGUGCCGGCGCCAAGCCAUGGCAAGACCGCCGCAACGCUACCGGACAUGCCGGACAUCCCUAUGGCACAGGAUCCGGACAUGCAUAUGGCACAGGAUCCGGACGACGACGACAACGACGACGGUACAUUUACCAACGUCGAUAAGUACUUUGCCGAACAUGGGUACAGUGACGAAUUCUUUGGGCCUCCUUCUCAAGAACCCAACCCUGAAAAAGACGACCGCGAUCGAGCUGGUACCGCGGAGAAACCCAAUUGCAACAGCCGUCGUCUGGCGUUCAGUUCUCAGGAGACGCCUCUAGCUGCCGCCUUCACCGAGCCUUAGAUAGCCGACGUGCGGAAUAUUAUCAGCCCCAACACACUCAAGAAGGCGGUCUCUGAGCAGAACUCGAUCCCAUUACAGGAGAUGAGGAAGAAGGGACGGAAAUGAAAGAAUAACAAGGGCGGUACGAGCCAGCCGGCACCGAGUACGAUCCAUGCUCAGGACGGUCCACCUUCACCUAAGGAUAUCUCGAGGAGGGUGCAUGUGGUGGGUAGGCCGAUGCUACCGACUAAUCUGCUCAAUGCUGCAACCGGUGCUAUGCGGAGUCUGCAUGACAGUGUUCUUUCUUUGGAGAAGUGGUGUCUCUUCGAGAAUGAUGUGGCAUACCCGGUUUUCAUGGCCAAGGUGCCAGAGGGCAAGGGCUUUGUGGAUAGCGCCAUCGGGGGUACGAUCAUCCUGCGGUUUGAUGACAUCUUCGCUAUGUUUAACCUUUAUCCGCUGCACUACACCUUCGUUCGGCUAUUUUCGCUGAGUAUGGAGAUGCGGAUCAUUUGAGACAAGACCCCGGACAUCGGGAUAGUCGACCCCUUCUACAUGCGUGCCAAGAUCUUGGGCAGCGCUGGGGAACGGCAAGUCGCGAGUUCAUACCUCGAAGGCGUCAUUCUGGCAAACCCAGAUAAGGAUAACUUCCUCGUGCCUUACUUUCCCGAGUAAGUCAUCCCGUCACCGCCCCGUAACAUAUGAUUUCUUAGAUUUUGAUCGUUCUUUUUUUCUAACAUUCCGUGUUUUGUGUAGUGACACACAUUGCACACUCAUCCUCUUAAGCCCGAAAUAUUCCAUGGCCACGUAUUUCGACAUGGACCGUCAGUCGAAGAUAGACUACACAAAUAUCAAGAAAGUUCUUGAUGAUGUUCUCCCCGGCUAUGCCAGAUCUGGAGGCACCUUCAGCAGGACAGUUCGUAAGUACGGCAAGCACAUCUUCAGCCACAAUACGACAUUCUCCUGCGUCAAGCAGCCGCCUGGCGGUCAGAAGGAUGCCUACUACGCCCUCCAUCACAUGAGGGCGAUCGUACGGGACCAUAAUCACCUUCUGCUACCAAAUAAUCUCAAAGAUUGGGCCGCACGCUUGUCGGCAAUCCAGGACGCGGACAUCAGACAAGAAUUCUUUCGCAUCCAGUCGGAGUUUGCGGAAAUCAUCCAUCAAGAUGUCCUUCGUACCUCGGGGCAGUUCUAUGUCAGACAUCAACCGUCCAACAGUGAGAUAGAAACAACGCUACAAAUGCAGGCUGACAACGCCCGCGAUUUCAUGACCAUCACGAAAGACGGCGGCUUCAUCCACGCUCCGGUCCCUAAGUCGAGUCGAAAGUAGUGAUGCCAUGUAGUUCUGAAAUGUCGAUUGGCUCAUGUUGUAAUAUUAAACUUUAAUGAACUUGUAUGUCUCUUUGGUUUGGAAAGUCAUUCAACUUAUAUGUAAUCGAUGCUAUUUAUUAGUAGGACCAUGAAUCGUGCUAUUAAUGUGUCGCUUUUCUCUUCCGAUCCUUUUGUUGCAUACUUAUAUAUUGCUUAUGUAUUGUCUGUGAAUUGCUACUAACGUUUUGUUUGGCUAGUGCAUAUAUAGAGAUGCCGUCGUAUGUCGUAGGGUAAGGUUCCCGGAGUCUACGACGACUGGGAGGAGUGUCGAAGACAGGUUCACAGUUUCAGCGGUAACAGUUACAAAGGGUACACCACUAGGGCGGAGGCGGAAGUUAGAUACGCGCGCUAUCUAGCGGGAGAGAGGAGGGAGCGGAGGAGGAACCGGAUGAAGACCAGUUUCAUCGCGGUGAUGCUAUUCGUGAUGACCGCAGCUCUCUUCUAUGUGAUGGUAGUUUAGAUGAUCGAUAUCGACUUGUAAUGUGAAGACAAACUCGCUACUCGCGGUUUCGAGACUUGUAAUGUUAUAACUUUGUUCGGUAUUUGAAAUUCAGAGACUAAUAUGAUGAAUUGUAUUCGGAGACUAAUCUUCUAUUGUAUUCGAUAAAUCUGCUGUGUAUAUGUUGUGCUCUCUAUAUUAUGUGCAGUAAUAUGUUUUGUAACCUGUGCAAAUAUCAGAAAAGAAAAAAAUCCCUAAUAUUCAUACUAAUGGCGCACCACUCAGCACACUAAUGGCGCACUGCAGAAAGGACACUAAUGGCACAUCACCCCCUAGUGCGCCAUUAGUAUGCCAAGGCACAUGGGUAAAUAUGGCCCCUGGGAGGCAUACUGUAACGCCCACGAUGCGGCUAUAUCUCCCAUGUGUCGAGGCACGACUUAGAGGCAUAACCGCAUUGUGGUAUUGUCGCAAGAAGGGUUAUCUUCACACAAUCCCAUGUAAUGAACAAGACUGGGAUAACGAGAGUUGGCUUACAAUCGCCACUUCACACAAUACAUAAAUUAAUUCAUACAUCAUCCAAAAUCCACACAUAGACCGACUACGGUCAAAUCCAAAUGAAAAUAAGAUAACCCCAAAUGUUAGAUCCCCGAUCGUCCCAACUGGGCUCCACUACUGAUCAUUAGGAAACGAAACAUAGUAACGACCACGUUCCUCGUCGAACUCCCACUUGAGCUCGGUUGCGUCAUCUGCACUGGUAUCGACGGCACCUACAACUGUUUUGGUAGAAUCUGUGAGUCACGAGGACUCAGCAAUCUCACACCCGCGAGAUCAAGACUAUUUAAUGUUAUAGGAAAGGAUGGUGUAAUGAGGUGGAGCUGCAGCAGGCACUAAGCAUAUAUGGUGGCUAACACACGCAAAUAAGAGCGAGAAGAGAAGCAACGCAAUGGCCGCGAAGCUAGAAAUGAUCAAGAAGUGAUCCUGAAACUACUUACGUUCAUGCAUAACCCAGACCGUGUUCACUUCCCGGACUCCGCCGAAAAGAGACCAUCACGGCUACACACACGGUUGAUGUAUUUUAAUUAAGUCAAGUGCCAAGUUCUCGACAACCAGACAUUAACAAAUUCCCAUCUGCCUCAUAACCGCGAGCACGGCUUUCGAAAGAUAAUACCCUGCAGGGGUGUCCCAACUUAGUCCAUUAUAAGCUCUCACGGUCAACGAAGGAUAAACCUUCUCCCGGGAAGACCCGAUUAGUCUCGGAAUCCCGGUUUACAAGACAUUUCGACAAUGGUAAAACAAGACCAGCAAAGCCGCCCGAAUGUGCCGACAAAUCCCGAUAGGAGCUGCACAUAUCUCGUUCUCAGGGCACACCGGAUUGUCCAAGCUUCCGAUAGGCGAGCCCAGAGUUGCCCCUGGUGGCCACCGGCGACUAACAGGUUGGACCAAUACUCAGAGGAGCACUGGCCCGGGGGUUUAAAAUAAAGAUGACCCUCGGGCUCGCGAAAACCCGAGGGAAAAAGGCUUAGGUGGAAAAUGGUAAAACCAAGGUUGGGCCUUGCUGGAAGAGUUUUAUUCAAGGCGAACUGUCAAGGGGAUCCCAUAAAUCACCCAACCGCGUAAGGAACGCAAACUCAAGGAACAUAAUACCGGUAUGAUGGAAACUAGGGCGGCAAGAGUGGAACAAAACACCAGGCAUAAGGCCGAGCCUUCCACCCUUUACCAAAUAUAUAGAUGCAUUAAUUAAAUAAGAGAUAUUGUGAUAUGCCAAUAUAUCCAUGUCCCAACAUGGAACCAACUUCAACUUCACCUGCAACUAGCAACGCUAUAAGAAGGGCUGAGCAAAAGCGGCAACUUAGCCAAACAACGGUUUGCUAGGAAAGGAUGGUUAGAGGCUUAACAUGGCAAUAUGGGAGGCAUGAUAUAGCAAGUGGUAGGUAGCACAGCAUGGCAAUAGAACAAACAACUAGCAAAGCAAAGAUAGAAGUGAUUUCGAGGGUAUGGUCAUCUUGCCUGCAAGGUUCUCAGAGUUGUCGAAAGCUUGAUCCUCGUAAGCGUACUCAACAGGUUCCUCGUUCACGAACUCGUCUCCCGGCUCUAUCCACAGCAAGAACACAAGCAAUGGAACCACAAUCAAUCACGGGAAAUGCACAAGCAACAUGAUGCAAUACAUGCAUGAUAUGCGAGAUGCGAUAUGCGAUGCAUAUGCGUGCUCCGGAAGAAAAAGGAUCAACAAGGCAGUAACUUGGCAAACCAAGUAUGCCACUAGAAAGAUGAGAUUAUUUCGGUCGAAAUCGAUAUAAAGAUCACCGAAAACGGAUGCACGGUUUGCAAAUGGCAAGCAAAACAAGAAUGACACGAUUCUGCGAUUAACAGCAUGAUAGCACUUAUAAUACAUCAAGUAACUAUGCUAAAGCACCCCUACAUAGCAACAAAGCAUAUGGCAGUAAUCUACAGGAGAUGCUUGACAAAAGAUGAACACUGAGCUACGGCUAGAUCACAACAUAACAGGUUCAAACAAACAUGGCAAAAGUGCAAAAGAUAUCAUCUUAACAGACUUAGAGAAAAUACUGGACAUGGCUGAAACAGCAUCAGGUAGCAAUGUUCAGAGCAAGCAAAACACAUGCUGCAGUAAAUUAACAUAGCAAAACAAGGCAUGGCAUCAAUCUACUAAAUUUAUAGAACAAAAGACCCUAACUGACCAUGAGCCAAAAAGGAUCAGAAGAUAUGAUGGCACCCAUGUAAACAUAGCAAGUUUCGUUAACAUGUUUCAGACUUAGCAGAAAACAGAGCAUGGCAUUAACAGCAUUAUGAAGGCAUCUUGGUGAGCUUGAUUCACUCAUCACAAAGAAAUUCAUGACAAAACAAUCAUACCUAAAGCACGAUGGCGUGUUUAUGUAGCUAACCAUGGCAAGAGCAAGUUCAUAGCAUGUAUGGAUCAACUACAACAACCUUGGCAAAAUUGAAUAUCAUGUUAACAACUGCCAGGAAUAUUUUAUAGCAAAAGUAGAGCAAGAUUAAGACAUGCUAUGGCACUCCAUAAUUGCAAACAGAGGCAUGGAUGGAUAGAGCACAACUAUAUCUACAAAACAUCCUUACUGAACAUACCCAAAAGAAGCAUGGAUCUCACUGUAGACACAUGGAUACAUGGCAACAAAAUAACAGCAAUAACAGACAGCAAAAUCCUGUCCCUGGAAACAGGAACAUCACGAAGCCUAGUUUGCAUGCUUUUUCUAGUCACCACAUAGAUCACAAAAAUACAUGGCAUACACCUCUGUAAAGAUGGCAUGGCAUAGAUCAAAACACAUGUAGAGCUCAUGCCCAUAAGAUGCACACAUCAAAUGCAACAAAAAUAACAAAACAUCAAGUUCUGAUAAGUAACAGCAGUAAACAUCAUAUAGCACUCUUGCACCAGAUAUUUGGGUGUCAAGAUUGACUCAAACAAGCAUGGCACAAUGGAACAAAAUGAAGAGCAUCUCGUGAUGAACGUUUCGAUAUAUCAUGCAUGCAAAACGGAGCAGUAUGCGAUGAGAUAUGAUGCAAUGAACAUGAGCAUAUAAUGCAAUAAUAUACGGGACUGCAGAAAACGAGGGGGGGAAACAAGUCAACCUCUCCAGAUCUGGAUCGGGAGCCGAGGNNNNNNNNNNAUCCGCGGGAGGAGGCGGCGGAGGAGCGCGGGCGACGGGGACGUGGGCCGCUGGGGCCGGCGGACGGGCCCGGCGGGCUUCGGUGACGGGGGCGACCGCGCGACACGUGGCAGCACGGGAUUGGACGCGGGCGGCGGUGGUCGUGUUCGGAGCCGGGUGGACACGUCCGGCGGCGCGGAGGAGCGGGGCUAGGGUUGAUCUGUGCGAAAAUUUCGGACGGGGAGGUGUUUAUAUAGGCAUAGGGAGCUAGGAGAGUCCAAAUGAGGCACGGUUUUUGCCCACACGAUCGUGAUCGAAUGACCGAGAGCAUGGAGGGGACUUAGAUGGGCUAUGGGCUGUUUGGAGGGGUGUUUUGCUGCAACACACAAAAGACCUUUGCGGUUACCCGCUUAACCGUUGGAGCAUCAAACGACCUCCAAAUGGAACGAAACUUGACAGGUGGUCUACCGGUGGUGUACCAAGGCCAUUUGGCAAGACUCGGUCCAUUCCUAGAACCUUUAACACCCGCUCAUGAAAAGAGACAAGAGGGGGCGCGCGGUGCAUGUGGGAGUGUCGGAUUGCAAAACGGACAAUAGGGAAAAUGCUCGGAUGCAUGAAACGAACACGCACUACAGGAAUCAGCUAUUUUGCCGUCUGCCACGGCGGACGGCAAAGGCAUGAACAGCGGACGGCAAAGGCCUUUGCCGUCAGCCGCGGACGGCAAAAGGCUCCGGCAAAGUAGGCUACGGUAAACAGCUGCUUUGCCGUCUGCUUCCUGGCGGCUGACGGCAAAGGACCUUUGCCGUCUGCCGCGGACGGCAACGAGAGCAGACGGCAAUAAUUGUGCUCUCAGUCCGUUAAGUGGCUAACGGCAGGCCUUUGCCGUCCGCCGCGGACAGCAAACUUUCUAGUGCCUUUGCCAUCCGCUUUCGCCUCGCCCGCUUCCGCCUCGCCCACCGCAUCGGCCGCCCCUGCUUCCGCCUCGGCCUACGGCGCCACUUCCGCCUCGGCCGCCGUGUCGCGUCGCGUCGGCCGCCCCCGCUGAGGCGCUGCCGCCUGCCCCUCCCCUGCCCACUGCCGCCUCGCCUGCCCCGCGUGCCCCGACGCCNNNNNNNNNNNNNNNNNNNNNNNNNNNNNNNNNNNNNNNNNNNNNNNNNNNNNNNNNNNNNNNNNNNNNNNNNNNNNNNNNNNNNNNNNNNNNNNNNNNNNNNNNNNNNNNNNNNNNNNNNNNNNNNNNNNNNNNNNNNNNNNNNNNNNNNNNNNNNNNNNNNNNNNNNNNNNNNNNNNNNNNNNNNNNNNNNNNNNNNNNNNCGCUUCCCGCUGCCGCGCUGCACGCCUGCCGUGCUGCCGGCUGCCGCCUCGCCUGCCCCGUGUGCCCCGAUGCCUCGCGGUCAACGCCGCAUCUCGUCUUCUGCACGCCGCCCUCUCGUCUUCUGCACGCCGCCCUCUCGUCUUCCGCGCGCCGCCCUCUCGUCUUCCGCCCGCCGCCCUCUCGUCUUCCGUGCGGCGGCGCCUCCCUGCCGCAUUAAAUCUCGGCGCUAUAAAACCAGCCCUACGCGGCGAGUUUGGUCACACCGGCCACCUCCUCCACCGCCCCGCCCCCCUCCUCUCCCUCUUCACACCGGUGUUCUCUUCCCGGGAUGGCGUCCAGCGACUCGGACUCCGACGGCGCGGCACCGGGCGGCCACUGGCCGUUGAGCCUCACGUUGGGGCAGACGGAGGACCUCGCUCGGUUCGGCCUCUACGUGCCGCCGGCGGCGAAGCGGCCGCGGCCAUGGAGGAUCUCCGCGGACGGAUUCCCCACGCCGGCAGAGCUUCGCGCGCACCCCGGGGGACGCUACAACCGGAAGGGCCGCCGCCAUUUUUGGAAGGGCAAGCGGUUCGACGACGUCAUCGGCGCCUUCAAGCGCGCCGCCCGAGGGCUCCCUGUCGGCGAUCUCUCUCGUGGAGCCGGGCCCUCCCAGCCGUGCAGGGCACCCGCUCCCACCCCCGCCCCAGCAGCCCCGGCCGAGGUUGUGAUCCCGCCGGAGCAGGCGGCGCUCCAGCAGGACGGCGACCCGGAGGACACGCCCGGGCUCCUCGCGAUCCUGGCGCAGUCAGCGGAGGAGGCCGCCGCGGCGGCGGCGCGGGAGGCCCAGCAGGAGGCGGCGCUACAGGCGGCGAUGGCGGCGCUGGAGGCCCAGGAGGAGGCGGCGCUGCAGGCGGCGAUGGCGGCGCAGCAGGCGGCGAUGGCGCCGCCGGAGUGGCAGCAGGCGCCGGCGGCGGAGGAGGAAGAGGAUUCGGACGACGUCCCGGUGGACUGGGACGACGUCGCGAACCGGUCCAGCAGCGACNNNNNNNNNNNNNNNNNNNNNNNNNNNNNNNNNNNNNNNNNNNNNNNNNNNNNNNNNNNNNNNNNNNNNNNNNNNNNNNNNNNNNNNNNNNNNNNNNNNNNNNNNNNNNNNNNNNNNNNNNNNNNNNNNNNNNNNNNNNNNNNNNNNNNNNNNNNNNNNNNNNNNNNNNNNNNNNNNNNNNNNNNNNNNNNNNNNNNNNNNNNNNNNNNNNNNNNNNNNNNNNNNNNNNNNNNNNNNNNNNNNNNNNNNNNNNNNNNNNNNNNNNNNNNNNNNNNNNNNNNNNNNNNNNNNNNNNNNNNNNNNNNNNNNNNNNNNNNNNNNNNNNNNNNNNNNNNNNNNNNNNNNNNNNNNNNNNNNNNNNNNNNNNNNNNNNNNNNNNNNNNNNNNNNNNNNNNNNNNNNNNNNNNNNNNNNNNNNNNNNNNNNNNNNNNNNNNNNNNNNNNNNNNNNNNNNNNNNNNNNNNNNNNNNNNNNNNNNNNNNNNNNNNNNNNNNNNNNNNNNNNNNNNNNNNNNNNNNNNNNNNNNNNNNNNNNNNNNNNNNNNNNNNNNNNNNNNNNNNNNNNNNNNNNNNNNNNNNNNNNNNNNNNNNNNNNNNNNNNNNNNNNNNNNNNNNNNNNNNNNNNNNNNNNNNNNNNNNNNNNNNNNNNNNNNNNNNNNNNNNNNNNNNNNNNNNNNNNNNNNNNNNNNNNNNNNNNNNNNNNNNNNNNNNNNNNNNNNNNNNNNNNNNNNNNNNNNNNNNNNNNNNGGACGACAAAGAAUCUUUGCCGUCCGCUGGCGGACGGCAAAGAGCCCGCUGAUGGCAAAGAGCUUCUUUGCCGUCUGCCACUUCUUUGCCGUCAGCUUCUGGGUAGCUGAUGGCAAAGAGCUUCUUUGCCGUCAGCUAGCAGACGGCAAAUUAGCUGAUUCCAGUAGUGACGUAUGCAAAUGAGAUGCACAUGAUGACAUGAUAUGAAAUGCAUGACAUGAACAAAAUGCAAAACGAAAAACAAAACCCAACCACGGAGGGAAUAUCAUAACACAUAGCCGAAAAUGGCAAGAGUUGGAGUUACAAAUAUGGAAAGUUACAUCCGGGGUGUUACACAUACUAAUGGCGCACGGUGGGCUAUACUAAUGGCGCACCAGGGGUGCGCCAUUAGUAUUUAAUUCUAAUGACGUGGUGCUAGUGGCGCACCAGUAGUGCGCCAUUAGUAGGCAAAACUGGUGCGCCACUAGCAGGCCGUUUCCUAGUAGUGUAUCUACCAUCCAUAUUGCACUUGUAUCACCAUCUCUUCGCCGAACUAGUGCACCUAUACAAUUUACCAUUGUAUUGGGUGUGCUGCGGACACAAGAGACUCUUUGUUAUUUGGUUGUAGGGUUGUUUGAGAGAAACCAUCUUCAUCCUACACCUCCCAUGGAUUGAUAAACCUUAGGUCAUCCACUUGAGUGAAAUUUCUACUGUCCUACAAACCUUUGCACUUGGAGGCCCAACAACGUCUACAAGAAGAAGGUUGUGUAGUAGACAUCAAGCUCUUUUCUGGCGCCGUUGCCGGGGAGGUGAGUGCUUGAAGGUGUAUAUUUAGAUCUUGCAAUCGAAUCUUUUUGUUUCUUGUUUUAUCACUAGUUUAGUUUAUAAAAGAAAACUACAAAAAAAUGGAAUUAAGGGUGCCUCAUGUGCUUCAUCUUUUUAAUAUCUUUCAUGAAAAUAAGCAUUCCGAUAAUUGUGCUCAAUUGCUAGAGGAAGAAUGCAUUAGAAUGUUUGGCACUAAAUCUUUGUAUGAUGAGCAUGAUUGCAAUGUUGUUAGUAUGAAUUCCUUGAAGAAUCAUGAUGCUAAUGAUAUGCAAAGCCACAAGCUUGGGGAUGCUAUGUUUGAUGAAAGCAUGCCUCCUAUUUAUGAUGAUUAUUGUGAUGACACGUAUGCUAUAAAUAAUAAAGAUAACCAUGAAACUUGUCAUCAUGAUUUUAAUUUUCAAUUGCAUUAUGCUUCACAUGAUAGUUAUUUAGUUGAGUUAGCUCCCACUACUACUCAUGAGAACAAAUUUGCUUAUGUGGAGAGUAAUAAAAUUUCUAUGCUUCUAGAUCAUGAAAAGAAUGCUUUAUGUGCUGGUUAUAUUGUUGAAUUCAUUCAUGAUGCUACUGAAAAUUAUUAUGAGGGAGGAACAUAUGCUUGUAGGAAUUGCAAUAAAAACAAGUUUCCUCUCUAUGUUCUUAAAGUUUUGAAGUUAUGCUUGUUUUGACUUCCUAUGCUAGUUGAUUAUUGGUCCCAUAAGUUGUUUGUUCACAAAAUCCCUAUGCAUAGGAAGUGGGUUAGACUUAAAUGUGCUAGUUCUAUUCUUCAUGAUGCUCUCUUUAUGUUUCAAUUGUUAUCUUUUAUGUGAGCAUCAUUGAAAUCAUCAUGCCUAGCUAGGGGCGUUAAACAUUAGCGCUUGUUGGGAGGCCACCCAAUUUUUAUUUUGUUCUUUGCUUUUGCUCCUGUUUAGUAAAUAAAUCGUCUAGCCUCUGGUUAGAUGUGGUUUUAUGUUUUAAUUAGUGUUUGUGCCUAGUAAGACCUAUAGGAUCUUCUUGGAUGAUAAUUAUUUGAUCUUGCUGAAAAAGACAGAAACUUUCUGCUCACGAAAACAAUUGUUAAAAAUGACCAUAAAGUGAUACAAUACUGAUUCCAGUUGCAGUAGAUCAAUAAUCAAAUUAUCUAGGUCGUCCUAUUUUGGAAUAUUUUUCUGAGUUACAUAAGUUUGCGUUUGAUACAGAUUACUAUAGACUGUUCUGUUUUUGACAGAUUCUGUUUUCUAUGUUUUGUUUGCUUAUUUUGAUGAAUGUACGAGUAGUAUCGGAGGGUAUGAACCGUAGAGAAGUUGGAAUACAGUAGAUAUUACACCAAUAUGAAUUUAGAAUGAGUUCACAACAGUACCUAAGUGGUGAUUUAUUUUCUUAUACUAACGGAGCUUACGAGUUUUUUGUUAAGUUUUGUGUUGUGAAGUUUUCAAGUUCUGGGUAAAGAUUCGAUGGACUAUGGAAUAAAGAGUGGCAAGAGCCUAAUCUUGGGGAUGCCCAAGGCACCCCAAGGUAAUGUUCAAGUACAACCAAGAGCCUAAGCUUGGGGAUGCCCCGGAUGGCAUCCCCUCUUUCGUCUUCGUUCAUCGGUAACUUUACUUGGGGCUAUAUUUUUAUUCACCACAUGAUAUGUGAUUUGCUUGGAGCGUCAUUUUAUUUUGUUAGUAUUUGCUUGCUGUUAUCUAGAAUAAUGUUUUUCAUCUUUAUUUUCAAAAAAAUGUCAAGGAUAGCCUUUACCAUGCUUAUUUUACAAGUCUACAUGUUGCUGUUUGAAAACAGAAAGUUUACCGCUGUUGCAAAAAUUUCCUAGAAAAGUCAGAAUGUGAUAAAUUGUUGAAACCUUUUGCAUAAUAAGCUCUGAUAAAUUUACUACAGUGGGAAUUUUCUUUCAUAAUGUUUGGAGUUAGGGAAGUAUGAUGAAUCUUGCAUUCUUUACAGACUGUACUGUUUUGGCAGAUUGCUGUUAUGUUUGCAUUGUUUGCAUAUGUUUGCUUGUUUAAUGAUUCUAUUUGAGGAUAGGAGUAUUAAAUAUGCAGAGGCAUUUAGUAUGCAAUGUUGAAUAAUAAUUUUAGUGAUUUUCAACAGUAGAGUAUGAUAAGGUUUUUGCAUUGGUUUAUACUAACUUAUCUCACGAGUCCUUGUUGAGUUUUGUGUGGAUGAAACUUUUGAGAUUUAGGGAGACCGUGAUAUAAAAGGAAUUAAGGAGACACAAAACCUCAAGCUUGGGGAUGACCAAGGCAUCCCUAGAUAAUAUUUCAAGAAGUCUCAAGCAUCUAAGCUUGGGUAUGCCCCGUUAGGCAUCCCACCUUUCUUCUUCAACAAUUAUCGGUUAGUAUCGGUUGAGCCUAAGUUUUUGCUUCUUCACAUGAUGAGUGCUAUCCUUUAAAUGUCGUUUUAUUUUGUUUUGCUUUCUGCUUGAAUAAUAUCCCAUGAGAUGAAUUGCAAUUGUUUGAUGACCGAGAGCAUAGUUUGCUAGUUUUCAAGAAAGUUUAUGGUCUAUGCUUUAACAAGUGAAUAGCUUGUUACUUGAUCGUGAGAAGUUUUAUGAGAUGAGCUACUGUUAUGACAUAUAAUGAUGCUAGAAAAGGUGAUUGAAAUUAUCAUUGAUCAAACUUGUGCACCUGCUAGCAUUCACACUUCAUAAAUUAUUUCUUUUAUCAUUUACCUACUCGAGGACGAGCAGGAAUUAAGCUUGUGGAUGCUGAUACGUCUCCAGCGUAUCUAUAAUUUAUGAAGCAUUCAUGCUAUAUUAUUAUCUGUUUUGGAUGUUUAUGGGCUUUAUUAUACACUUUUAUAUUAUUUUUGGGACUAACCUAUUAACCGGAGGCCAAACCCAAAUUGUUGUUUUCUUGCCUAUUUCAGUGUUUCGAAGAAAUGGAAUAUCAAACGGAGUCCAAAUGGAAUGAAACCUUCGGGAAAGUUAUUUUUGGAACGGAAACAAUCCAGGGGACUUGGAGUGCAUGUAAGGGAAGCUUCGAGGUGGCCACGAGGCAGGGAGGCGCGCCCUCCCCCCUGGGCACGCCCCCCACCCUCGUGGGCCCCUCGUGGCUCCCCUGACCGACUUCUUUCGCCUAUAUAAGUCCAUAUACCCUAAAAACAUCGGGGAACAGAAUAGAUCGGGAGUUCCACCGCCGCAAGCCUCUGUAGCCACUAAAAACCAAUCGGGACCCUGUUCCGGCACCCUGCCGGAGGGGGGAUCCCUCACCGGUGGCCAUCUUCAUCAUCCCGGCGCUCUCCAUGACGAGGAGGGAGUAGUUCACCCUCGGGGCUGAGGGUAUGUACCAGUAGCUAUGUGUUUGAUCUCUCUCUCUCUCCUGUUCUUGAUUCGGCACGAUCUUGAUGUAUCGCGAGCUUUGCUAUUAUAAUUGGAUCUUAUGAUGUUUCUCCCCCUCUGCUCUCUUGUAAUGGAUUGAGUUUUCCCUUUGAAGUUAUCAUAUCGGAUUGAGUCUUUAAGGAUUUGAGAACACUUGAUGUAUGUCUUGCCGUGCUUAUCUAUGGUGACAAUGGGAUAUUCACGUGAUCUACUUGAUGUAUGUUUUGGUGAUCAACUUGCGGGUUCAAUGAAUCUAUGCAUAGGGGUUGGCACACGUUUUCGUCUUGACUCUCCGGUAGAAACUUUGGGGCACUCUUUGAAGUACUUUGUGUUGGUUGAAUAGAUGAAUCUGAGAUUGUGUGAUGCAUAUCGUAUAAUCAUGCCCACAGAUAGUUAAGGUGACAAUGGAGUAUCUAGGUGACAUUAGGGUUUUGGUUGAUUUGUGUCUUAAGGUGUUAUUCUAGUACGAACUCUAUGAUAGAUUGAACGGAAAGAAUAGCUUCAUGUUAUUUUACUACGGACUCUUGAAUAGAUAGAACAGAAAGGAUAACUUCGAGGUGGUUUCAUACCCUACAAUAAUCUCUUCGUUUGUUCUAUGCUAUUAGUGACUUUGGAGUGACUCUUUGUUGCAUGUUGAGGGAUAGUUAUAUGAUCCAAUUAUGUUAUUACUGUUGAGAGAACUUGCACUAGUGAAAGUAUGAACCCUAGGCCUUGUUUCAACGCAUUGCAAUAACGUUUGUGCUCACUUUUAUAAUUAUUUACCUUGCUGUUUUUAUAUUUUCUGAUUACAAAAACCUAUAUCUACCAUCCAUAUUGCACUUGUAUCACCAUCUCUUCGCCGAACUGGUGCACCUAUACAAUUUACCAUUGUAUAUGGUGUGUUGGGAACACAAGAGACUCUUUGUUAUUUGGUUGUAGGGUUCUUUGAGAGAGACCAUCUUCAUCCUACACCUCCCACGGAUUGAUAAACCUUAGGUCAUCCACUUGAGGGAAAUUUGCUACUGUCCUACACACCUCUGCACGUGGAGGCCCAACAAUGUCUACAAGAAGAAGGUUGUGUAGUAGACAUCUACUGGAAUAUCCAGCUCAUAUGUAUGAAUGUCAUACGAGUUAUUGAUGUAUAGAAGGCUGGUCAGAAGAAAUAGUUCUUGGGAAUUAUGAUUAAACAUCUUAAUAACUAAUUUUUGGGUAUUGUGAGUUGAUCACAAAGAUACCCGCUCGAUUGCAUUCUGUUGCGAAUCGAUGCAAGAACUACAACGGCCUGAAAGACUAGCCAGGAAUGAAGUUUUGAUACGCGAUGGGAUCAUAGUAAAAGUUACUAUACCUUCCAUCGGUGUAUUCCCUAUGUAUUUAUUUUCAUAAUUCAAUAUAGAGUUUUACACACUCUAGCCCAUUGCACAAGGUAUAUUGCAAGAAGGUUGUUCAUAAGAGAACUUUUGAUGUUCGGCGUUAUGAAUAACAUAAGGGUCAUACUUUCAUUAUGAAUGAGAUGUAUGUUAUGAAUAAUGAUAUUAAUAUAUUACCUCUGUGUUUACUUUCAUAAUUCAUUUUAGAGUUUCAUACACGCUAGCCCAUUGCACAAUGUUUAUUGCAAAAGGGUUGUUCAUAAAAGAACAAUUGUUGUUCAGUAUUAUUAAUAACAUGAAGGGCCAUGCUUCCAUCCAAGAUGCGAUGUGUGUUAUGAAUAUUAAUGGUAAAAUCAUACAUCCAUAAAACUGGCACUACGCUAUUAUAUGUUUGCGCUCGUUUUUGUUGUUUUUGAUGUGGAAACCGUCUUUCUAUACCCUUGGGCAAUGAGUUUCGACGUAUUGGGUGUAUCCGUUUUUAUCGAAGCUUUGAUUUUCGUGCUUAUCUUAGUUGUUGGUUUAGUUUAUGCAUGGCGAAAAGGAGCCUUGGAAUGGUCUUAACUGAAUAUUUAGACAAAAAAAAGAAGGAAAAGAUUC